UUUGCUGACAUGAUGAAGAAGAAAAUCGCCAUGCCGGCUGAGUUCAUCUAUGAUGGCAGAGAUUGUAACUUAUUUGACCACUACUCAGCUGUUGCCCAAAGAAUCGGGGUUUACACUGCUAAGGACUAUGUUGAUAUAGUAGAGCACCUGGUGGAUCGAUGGAAGGUGAAGGAGCUAGCUGGGCUUUCAGCCGAGGGGCGUAAAGCUCAGGACUACUUGUGUUCACUUCCUUCGAGAAUUAGAAGGUUAGAGGAGAGAGCGCAAGAAAAGGCCAAGGAAGCACCCAGUGUCCCAUUCAGUUGGAUAUUUGAUAGAGAAGUGAAACUUUAGGUCAUAAAAUACAGUUAAGACUCCUGCAAUGCAUUUGAGGAAACAAACACGAAGAAGCUGAAUGCCAACUUCUCUUUAUAUAUCCGAUGUAAUAGAGGUUGUAUAUGUAACAGGAGGAAUUGCGUGGCUUUGGUUAGGGUAGCACAUGUUUUCUGGAUGUGUUGUGUCCUUAAAAAAUAAUGCCGAUAGCGGCAGCUGUGAUAGUUUUAGAUGUUUGUUUUCAUAAUGUCUGUUAUAUCGUUGUACGAGUAGUAUGUGUUGUUUUUGUUGAAACAAUCUUCAUAUCUUAGUGAUAAAUGAUAAUGCUGUGUAGUCAUAGUUUUUAGUUUGCAAUAAAAAAUUCCUUCUCGAUAUUGGGUUACUUUUGUUUUGAAUGGCAAAACCUACUUUACAUACCUUCAACAUCUAGCGUUGUCACUGUAGAAAACGCAAGUGGUAAAUUUCAAGCUGUAGAUCGUACUUUUUCUUACACGAGUAACACAGUUCAGCUAAUUAAUAUACCCACUGAUACUAUACCAUGACUACAGUUUUUAUUUUUUUUAUACAAUAUUAGGGUCGCACUGUUUGAACGCGUAUCAAACACGUAUUUGAUAAAAACUUUAAUUAUGCCUUUAUACACAUCAAGAUACCUUUUUUAUUUAGUUCAUUCAUAUUAUUAUUUUAAGUUGAAUCAUUUAUUUGGAUUAUGGAAAUUUUUUACUAUUGUCCGAAUUAAGUUUCUAGAAAUGUUAGUUUUUAGAAAUAUGUUUUUUUUUUACUACAGAUGUCAAGUUUAGUAUAAAAGGGAAAAAGUUAGAGUUUACUUUAUUUAUUUAAACAUACUUCGACUUCCAGUGAUGUUGACGAGUUUCAUUUUAUUAUUUAAAUAGACCUCCAUUUCUAUUGAUGUCGAGUUUAACUUAAUAUUUUGGCAAUGUUUUUACUUUUUUAUUUAUUAUCUUUCUUUUUCCUUAUUAUAUAUAUCGCUCAAAACUUAAAUUAUAAGUUCUCUUAUGAUUUUUAGUGAAAGAUUCUUCUAAAUAAAAACACGAGCAUAAAUACAACUAAAAUGAUAUGGGAUAUUAUUAGAAAUUUUCAAGUUUCAUCAACCCAAAACAAAAUUAAAUUUUCAUCUCCCUCUAUUUUGUUUUGGAUUGGCAAAAUUUAAAAAUUUUCAACAAUACGACUUAACAUUUUAAGUGUUCUUUAUGUUCAUGCUUUCAUUUAUAAACUGAACCAAGCUCUAAACAAUUUUCUCAAGCUUUUAGAGGUUUCUUCCAUUAAAGAAACACCACAAGAGAGCCUAUAGUAAAGUUUUGUUACAAAUAUAUGGUACAUAGCCAAGAAAAAUUUUAAUACAUUGCCCAUGGAGUUUAAAAAAGUCACAAGCAGUGUCGGAAUGAUGAUAAGUGUAUAUAAGGUAGAGUAAAAACAAUUAAGCCUUUAAAGAAAAAGUGCACGCAAUUGAGCUAAAAAAUCAAUGAAGCCCUUCCGCUAAUAGAAAUUGUUAUUAACCGGCUUGACUAUUAAUGGAUGUUGACGUGAUUAACAAAAGCAACAAAAAAGUGAUACAUGACAUGCCAUGUAGAUAAUGUUUCAUAACAUGCCACGUCAGUAUACAUCUAAGAAAAUAAAAUUUUAAAAAUUGUUAAAAAAAAGUUAAAAAUGCACGCAUGAACAAAUGUACAUUCAAGUGCAUUUAAUAAUGCACAUCAACUAGUCCAGAUUUAUUAUGUACGUAUUUUAGAAUAUUAUAAAAUAAUUAUUAAAAGUUGUAAAAAAAUAUAAAAGUUAUUAAAAAUAAAAAAAAAUUUAAAAAAGAAGAUAAUAGUUAUUUUUAAAUAUUUUAAGAAAUCCUAAAAAUAAUAUAUAAAUUAUAAAAAUAUUAAAAAGCUAUAAAAAUUAUAAAAAAUGAUUAAAAUAGUCUAUUACAAAUAUAAUAGAAUCAAAAUAUCACAUGUAUUAGGGACUAAAAUGAAAUUUAAUAUAUAUAUCACAUACAUAUACAAUACUCUAAACUACCCCACUUCACCUGCGGACAACCCAAUCCAAUGUAUUUAAUUGCUCCAUGCAAGGCACUUUAAAAUCAUUUAAAGCAAUUUAAAGCACGUUGUCUGUAAUACCCUUAAGCACCCAUACUUUAAGCAAUUUAAAGCACCCACUUUCAGAUAUAUGAAACUAAGGAACCCAGAAACAAAUUAAAGCAUGGGUCGUAGUCUGGGCCCUGAGGUAAUAAAAUAUCUUUGAAAAUAUGGGUGGUUUCAGAAGUCUAAACUUAAAAGCUAUUGAUGCUUCACUACACUAGAGCCAUGCACAAGCUAAGUCAGAAAAUUUUUAAGGGCUCGAAAUUAAAUUGUAUAUUUUUAUUAUAAUUUUUAUUUUAAUAGUUUAUAUUUUUAUAACUUUUAAAGAAUUAAAUCAAAUUUUUAUAAUUUUUGGAGGGAUCAAAGUGUAAUUUUUCCAUUACAAAUUUAAAAUUCUAAAUAGAAAAUUUUUAUUUUAGGGGGCUGGGGCCCCUGUCAGCCCCCUUGGAUUCGCCACUAGAGCCAUGAUUCGAAGAAAAUUUUUAACAGAAUAAUGCAGGAUAAUUAGUCAAAGAAAUUAGUCCACUGCCAAAUACAUUGAAAUCAUUUUGUAUUCUUUUCUAGUGUUAUUUUAUUUGGUGAAUGUAGUGUAUUGAAGAAAAUCAUAUAAUGUAUGUGCACAUUUAUUCUUUUUAUAUGUUUUAUACUUGUUUUAACAAAAAAAAAUAAAAACAUAAAAAUUUCAGUUAAUUCAGUUAAUCGACCGAAUUAACUGAAAUAGUUCGGUUCGGUUAAUUUUUUUUAAAAAAAUUUUGAUUCGUUUAACGGUUAAGGGUUUAAAAAUUUUGGUUAAUGCUAGUUGGGUUCGAUUAACCGAUUGAACACCCCUAAUAAGUAGUAUUAUUUUCAGAAUAUGCAUAUUAGAUUUUCUUUUUUGGGUAAAUGAAAUGUGGUUUCUCAAUGAUAGUAGAAAAGGUAUGUAACAUCCCAAAAAAAUUUAUUUGACACAUGACACCAUUCCAGUAAUGAAUAUAGUGAAUCGGUGAGAAAAUAUGAAAAAUGAACCAGAUAAAUGAAUAGUAUGGGAAAAAAGUUGUUAAUUGAGAAGGAAAUUAUGAAGAGAAUUUUAGAAGCGAAAAAUGACAAAAGGGCUAAAUUAUAAAAUUUAAAAAUUUUAGGGCCUAAAGUGAAAAUACGAGUAAAUUGAGACAAGUGACUUAUUAGUGAUGAAUUGACUUGAGGUUAAAUUUAAAUAGGUAUUAGUAUGGUGAAAAUCACUUUUGGGGAUUAAAGAUUAGAAAGCACAAUGACUAAAUUAUAAAUUUCUUGAUUUUAUCGAGAGAAAGGGAAAAGAUAAAUUUUUCACAAUAUAUGGGUUGAUAUUAAAUAUUAUAAGUGAAUUAUGAGAUUUGAGUAUGAUAAUUGCUUAUUAUUUAGAAGAAAUUAUAUAAUGAGUCAAAAGGGGUAAAAAGGUAAGUUUACGCUGAAAGGCUAAUGUGGUCAUUGCUCAAGGAUUAAGAGAUGAACAUAUUAUUUAGAUGAUAUAUUUGAUAAUUAAUUUUUUUAUGAACCAUUUGGAUUAUAAGGAAAAUAUUAUUUAUAUUAUAUAUUUAGAUGUUAACUACCUCAGUGGAAAAACGAUUCAUGGUACGAGAAUACUGGAGAAGGAUCCUAUUUUCAACAAGUCCUUAGAAUGUGGAGAUUUCAUCGAAAUACUCAUUGUUAAUAGUGAAAUUACUCAUUGAGCUAGGCCCCAUAGAUGUAAGGAAACUGAACAAGCUCCUACAUGAGCUAUCCCUACUUAAAGGCCAGAAUGAAAUCCUACAUAAAGUCUGUUAAUAAAAAGGCAUGAAGAUCUAGUUUCACCGGCUGACAAGCUCCUACUAUUGAUUCAAAUUCUAGAAAGGAUUUUAAGCUUGAGGUUGAAUGGACUACUAAAGGAGAAAGAGUUGUCAAUGCUAACUCUAACGCAUUGUUUGCCAUAUUCUGUGGUAUCGAUAUGUGAAAGUUCAAAUGGAUUUCCAGUGCAUUGUGGAAAAGGAUGUUUGGGAAAUUCUCCAAACUGCUUAUGAGGGAACUAAUAUUGUCAAGCAGUCCAAGAUGCAAAUACUAACCACCAAAUUCAAGACCUUGAGAAUGCAAGAUUCUGAAACAAUUGGUGAGUUUUAUGCUAAAUUGUAUGGCAUGUCUUGUAACACCUGACCGCCUCCAGACGUACUAAUGUCCAGAGUGUGAAUACUACAAUAAAAUAUAGAAAGACAAGGCGGUAUCCGCAAGUAUACGGGUCGAGUUGUAAUAUAGUUUUACAACGAAGUAGGUGAGUAAUCUGAGGAUCGUACCCAAAGGAGGUGAGUGUCAGAUCAAUUCUAACCUAAACCCUAAAAGAUCUAAUUAAUUCUUUUAAAUCAGUUAUAGUACGAAAAAAAUGAAAUAAAAUAUUUCUGGGGUUUUAUAAUAAUAGUAAUAAAAACAAAAUAACAUAAAAAGAUAAAAUUAAAGAGAUUAAAAAAAGAGAAUAAAUCAAAUCUGAUUAUGGGUGAUUAGCUCACUUCGGUAAUCUCCAUCAACUGUUAUUUCGGAUUCCUCAUCAAUCAACUAGUCGCUACCCUAGCAGGAACUUUCGAUCUUCCACUAACAUAACGAUUCAACAAGAACUACUUAUCUUUUGACCUUACAGUUCAGAAUGAUUUGGGGUUAAGGUGUUCAUGGAUGGACAAUACCAAUGUUGGGUUAAUUCCCACCUUGAUGACUUCCUGGAGUUGUCAGACCUAGGGUUUGUUUCACGUUCUUCCUUUCCCAAAUAGCUGAUUCGUUGAGUAACCCUACAAAAUAGUUAAAAAAUUAUACCUCCACUCGCUAAUCCCCCAUAGAGGGAUUAGUUCCUCAUGGCUUCCAUAGACAAUAUAUACUCGAUGUAAAGAAAAAGUGUCACACCCCUUAUAACAACACGGUUUUAGCUAAAUCGGAACAAUGGUUUUAGAACCAAAAAUCUGAAGUUGUAAAAUUAUUUUAAUAUUAUUUUAUGUGUUUACAGCAUGAUAGCAUGUAUGCGUGAAAAUUUCGUGAUUUAAUUUUACCGAUUGGUUAGUUAAUAUGAUGAAAGGACUUAAUCGCGUAAAAUACAAACAUUGCAUUCUAAUUGUUUAAAGUGCUUAAUUGCUAUGAUUAAUUAAAUUAAAAAACCUUAUGAUGAUAUUAGACCAUUGGUAGUGUUAGUGGACAUUAAUGGCCUUAUACUUGAUGAUUUAAAUGGUUUAAUAACUAAGGGUAAAAUGGUAAACCAUGUAUUAAUGUAUAAUAAAUAAAACAAAAACAAAUUUUAAGGUUAUUUUAUCAUCUUUCUCACUGAAAAUAAAAAUAAGAAAGACCAUUUGAAACAUUUUAGGGUUCGGCCCUUUUCAUUCUUAAUUUAGGUAUGUUUUGAGCUCGGUUUUUGAUAAUUUUUACGUUUUUUAGAUCGUUGCUUCGUAUUCUAGCUAGCCCAUGCUUUAAUUUUUGGAUUGGUUGAUGAAUUUGUGAGUUGCCAUUGAUGAUAGUUUGAUAUUUUUAUUGUUUGAUGAUGAAAAAUAAAUAUUUAAUGUUAGAUUAUUAUGCUUUAUAAAGUGAUUUUUAAUGAAAAUGCAAAUUAGGGAUUAACUUGUGAAAUGUGUAAAUUUAGUGGUUGUAAUGUGAAAUAAAUGCAACAAUUGGGAUGCUAGGGACCCUUAAUGAAUUCAGGUAAGCAUGGGUGUGUUGAAAUUUUGUAUAAUUUAUGAUUUUGUGAAAUAGGGACUAAAUUGAAUAAAUGUGAAACUUAAGGGGCUAAAGUGUAAAAUGCCCAUUUAUGUGUUUUUGGAUGAAAUUGAAUGAAUAUAUUUUUAAAUAAGUUAAAUUUGAAUUGAUUUAGAUCAAGAAAGAAAGAAAUUGGAGUUAGAUCGGGGAAAGUCGAAAGUUAUCGAGUAAUCGAUCUAAUUCACCAAUUCCGAAUACAAGGUAAGUUCGUAAGUAAAUAAAUGUUUUUGAAAUUAAAUAUAAAUGUUUUAUACAUUGUAGAAUUUGAUUAAUUAUAGAAAUAUAUUACUGAAUUUGAAUGUUUUAUAUUUUGCUGAAUUCGAAUUGUUUAUAGUUAUAUAUUGUCGAAGUUGAAUUGUAUAUGGAUAUAUUGAUUCGUGUAUGGUUAUACAUUGCCGAAUUAUUUUGUAUAUGGAUAUAAGUUACUGAAUUGAUUCGUAUAUGGUUGUACAUUUCUGGAAUUAAUUUGUACAUGGUUAUAUAUUGACGAAAUUGAAUUGUUUAUGAAUAUAGGAAGCCGAGUUUGAUUUGUAUAUGAUUAUACAUUGCUGAACUUGAUUCGUGUAUGGUUAUGCAUUGCCGAAUUGUUUGGUAUAUGAAUAUAAGUUGCUUAAUUGAUUCGUAUAUGGUUGUACAUUGCUGGAAUUAAUUUGUACAUGGUUAUAUAUUGUCGAAGUUGAAUUGUUUAUGAAUAUAGGAAGCCGAAUUUGAUUUGUAUAUGAUUAUACAUUGCCGAACUUGAUUUGUGUAUGGUUAUACAUUGCCGAAUUGUGUGGUAUAUUGAUAUUCAUUGUUGAAUUGGAUUCGUUUAUGAAUAUAUAUAUUGUUGAAUUGAAUUGAGCAUUGGAUGACUGGUUUUGUGUAUGAAAUGAUUUAAUUAUGAAGUCGAUAGCUUUGAAUGAACCUUAGAAAAUGUAUUUGAUAUUGAUGACAUGAUAAUAGGACUUCUGAGAUGUGAUUUCAUGUAAGACCACGUUUGGGACAUUGACAUCGAAGUAAAGAAAUGUGUAAGACCAUGUUUGGAACAUUGGAUCGUAUAUGAUUCGUAUAAAACCCUGUCUGGGACAGUGGCAUCGAUAUGCGUUAACAUGUAAGACCAUAUCCGGGAUAUGGCAUUGUACGAGCUUUAUACAAUUUUUGUGUGUACAUAACAAAUUAGAAUGUGAAUUUUGGGCUAAAUGACUUAGGUACAUAAGAAGUUUACAUGUUCAUUUGAAAAUAAGGUAAGUGAAGUGAUUUAAUAUGGUAAGUUGGAAUAUAGGAGAUAAAUGAUUUUAUAUUUGAAUGUUAUUAGCCAAAUUUUGGCCUAUCUGAAUUAAAUUAAAUGUGUUCUCGUGUUGAAAUAAUUACUUAUGGCUUACUAAGCUUUAAAAAGCUUACUUUUUGUGUCUUUUUAUUAUUUUAUAGAUUUUGAAAGCUAGCUCAAGAUCAGGGAUCAUCCAGGAACAUCUCACACUAUCGAUUACUAUUUCAGUGCUUUAAAAGUUUGUAUUUUCAACUUAUGACAUGUAUAGGCUAUUCGCGAUAAGGUUAAUUUUGACUUGUAUAUAUAUUUAGCCAUGCGAAAAUGGCUUGAUAAUAAUGUAAAUGAUUGAGUAUGUUCGGCCAUUGUAACACCCCAAACCCGGCCCAAACGUUAUGGCCGAAUCUGGCAGUGUCACAUGGAAGUGUUUUUCGUAAAGUGAGUUGUCGUUAAAAACCUCCUUUCUUUAUAAUUUCUUUACACUCUCUUUUGCUUAAUACCAAGACGUGUCGAUCAAUUUCAAACGUGAUUCAUAUUCAUAAGUUAUUCUCUUUCGAAACGUUAUAAAUUUUCAAAACGUUAUUUAUCGCGGAAGCUUUUUAAAAUAGUUUGCCAAUUUGUGCAUAUUUUGUUAAAACGUUUGUUUCGUUUUGAAAACUCGAUUAUCCCUACUACUAGCAGUUGUAAGUCAAAACAAUAGAAAUCCAAAAUUAAACAUAAAAAUCCAGCGAGGCCAUUAUUACAGUAAAAUACCCCCAAAAUAAAACUGAAAUUAUAAUUAAGUACUAAAUCGAAUUAAAUAGGUCGUGUGGCCACCGCUGAGUCCUCCAUCGCACUGAUCCGCCUAUGUCUAGGGAUUACCUGUACAGUUAAAUUAGAAGGGUGAGUUUACGAAAACUCAGUGUGUAAUCCCAUAUAAAACAAACAGACAGAAAGCAAUCACGGUCUGGGCCUAGGCCCUUCUCAGUGUCAGAGACAAUAUCAGUUUGGGCUUUAGCCCAUCUCAGCACAGAAGCAAUCAUGUGUUUGGGUCUUGGCCUAUUAUAGUAACAAUAAUCAGUAUAGUAACAAAUUAUACAGUAUACAGGUCCUACCCAAUCAGCCUCUACACUCCACCUCCGUCCAACCCUACACUUCAUGUGGAGAUAUAAUCAACCCACCCAUCCCUACACUCCAAAAAGUACCGAAUGCGGCACUAAACAGUAGUUGCAUCUGAGCUGCCAGUAAGUUAGGCUCGAGGCCUUUCAGUACACUUCCUCCAAUCAAUAUCAAUCCCCAACCCAAUGCAAUGCAUCAUACAGUCAUGUCCUGGUAUCAUGUAUAAUCAGUACAGUACGAAUAACAUGCUCAACAUACAGACAUACAUAUCUAUCUUAUAUAGGCAUAUAACAAUCUUACAGUCAUUUCAGUCAAUAAGGGGUCCAGGUAAACUUAUCGACUCUAUAGUAGGUCCACAGUCGACUCGGGCGACCCGUGCAACCUUAAUAGUCAAACAGUGAAAAUGGGCCCACAAGCCCAUGUUGUAUGCCUAUGUAGGCCCACACGCCAGUGUGGCCUACACAACCCAAAAUGGCCUUGGCCAUGUGGAUCACAAGGCCUGGCCCAAUAUUCUCACACGCUUAUGUGGUCCACUCGUGUGGGGCCCACGCAUUCGUGUGGCCCACACGGUCUAAUUUAGCUCGGCCCAUGUAUCGUACAUGGCCAGCCUCGUCGAUCACAUGCCCAUGUUCAGUCAAACGGCCUACCACAUGGGCGACCGCACUCCAGUGUGGCGUCGACAAUCAUAUUUUCGGCUUUUCGUCAAUUCCAGUUUUUAAAGUUAUUUUUACACACCUGGGUUGUUCUCGAUGCUUAAGCACUUCCUAACCUUCUGCAACCUGCAAGCAACGUACCCAAUCUCGAAUUUAACAACUAAAAGACAAUUUAAUCAAUACCAAAAAUGAGCCAAAUGCACUCACUUACUGCAAUCACCCCCGACUACUCGCAUUAAUCAAUUCGUUGGGAAGAAAAACCGCUUCACGAUCGUCCCCUAUACACAAACAACAGAAUCAAAAUCUUUCAAAAUCAAAACUAAAAGAACACAACAACACUACUUACCAUUAUCCCACGAAAAUAAAAGCCAAGGAGCCAGAUAGACCGAAACGAAAGAUAAUAGGAAACACUUGAAAUUUUGGCAAUAAAACAAAACAAAAAAAGAAAGAGAAUUGAACGGGGAAAACGAUAGCAAUGGGGGAUUUCAGCUGAAAACAAAAGAAAAAGAAAAGGUUAAAAGGGAAAAAUAGGGAAAAUGAAAAGGGAGUGGGGAAGAUAGGGACAAAAUUUGACGUAGAGGAGGGUUCUGCAGAGUUUUUCAGAAUCAAAGGUUAACUCCCCAAACUCCUUGAUUUACUCCACUAAACCACAUCCAUUCCAACCACUCAGCAUCCCAGUCCAACUCAAACGCCUCCACUCUUUACUUUUCUCCCCAAAUUCCUCAAUCGACUCCCCAAAAAUCAUCCAUCCCUUCCUCAACCACCUAAUUCAAAUUCCACUCCAACUCUUUAGAAGUUCGGUUAGACUAAAACACCCACACGACACUAGCAACAAAAUAAAACACUCCUUGGCGCACACCAGUACUCAAACUCAAGACCACCAGCACUUUGCCACUUUACUUAUCCACCAGACCAACAGGCCCAUUCUGACAUAUUUCACUAACAUUUAUUUAUAAGCCUACUGGCUAAAGAUAGGGGUUUAUUCAAUUAAAAACAAAAUUGUGCCCAAGCUAAGGCUAGAACUUGAGACCUCUCAAACACUUCCCAGAACACUUAACCACUGAAGCAGACAUGUAUUUAUGUCACAAACAUACGAAAAUAGAUAUAUAAGGGAUUUUUGGGGCGUUACAGCCAUGGUAUUUAAAUGUAUGGUGUUUCGGUUAUAUGUUUAGGUUAAGCAACGAAUUAGUUGAUGGAUGUGUUAUUACUAUAAUAUAUAAGAUUUCGUAAGUUAAGUUAUGAAUAUGAAAUUAUUUUGCAUAUUGGUUGUUUAGGUAUAGUUGGUGAUAGUAAAAGAUGACUAUGUUUCAUAAAAGUUUAAUCAGUCACUUGAGCAAGUAAAAAUGUGUUGGGUUUAAAAUUGUUGUUAGUUAUGAAAUUGUACCUAGUUGAGCUUUUGUUCGAAAUUGGUAUGACCUAUAAAUGAUUAAUUGGUUAUUUGAAUGUUUUGGUUGUUGAUCAUAUGAUUCUGCUAUUUAUAUAUAUUUGUAUAAAGCAUAUAUAAUAUGUUCCAAUAGAUGUUGGUUGUCUCGAAAUUUGAGUAAUUUAAAUAGUUACGGCUUGGUUAGAUUUCAGAGCAUGAAUUGUAAUGAAGAACUGUGUUAGACUGUGUGGUGUUAGGUAAUGCCUCGUAACCCUUUUCAACGACGGAUACAGGUUAGGGGUGUUACACCCUUAACCUAUCUCCAUCACCGAUUUAGGGUUAUAGAGUAUUAAAGUUCAAUUUGGAACAUUUACUUUCAACUAGAAACAAUUAUACAAAUCAUUCCAUAUCAUUCAAUAAUUCAUUUAAAUUCAAAGUAUAAAUAUGUUUAUGGACCUUAAAUCGAGCCUACGGACCCUAAAAAUAACUUGAAAACAAUCAAGGUUCAUUUUAACAUGAAACAAAAAAAUCUAGGAAAAAUUGGAAAAUAGGGGUCACACAGCCAUGUGACAGAGCCUAGAUCGUGUGGCUAAAAAAUAUGGCCGUGUGGCUACUACACACACCCAUGUAACUACUUUAUAAGCUCGUGUACGCUGACUAUGUAACUAAAUAUGCUCGUGUCAUAUACGGUCACAUGGCCGUGUGGCCAGACUGUGUAACUCACUGUGACCAUGUAAUUCAGGGUCAUAGAUUGUGUCGCCAAGCAUGUAACUCUUUGUGCCCAUGUGGACCAACCUGCAUUGAAAUAAUUAAGACACAUGGUCGCGUGUGGCACACGACCGUGUGACAGCGCGUGUCCUAGGCUGUGUGCUCUAAAAUUUACCUUAAAAAUCAAAUUUACCAAAACUUGAUUACUUGGACAUCAAGAAACCCCAUAACCAUCAAUUAAACAUACUCAAAACACGAUUAAACGAGCUCAAAACAUGUCAAAACAUCCAUUCUAAGUGCCUAACCAAUGUGCCCUCAUUGACACAACAAUUCAAUAGCUAAAUCAAUAUCACAUUUCAAACCAAAAUGUGUACACAAAAUACUCAAACAUCAUUAACUUUUCAUGCUAAAACACUACUUAUUUCAACUCAUUAAACACUUAGAAAUAUUCACACACUUUAUAAGGCUUAAACUACAUAUAUAAAAAAAGUUCCAUACACAUAUACAUACCAAACCAAACCAAACUCACAAGUAUUUAAAAACUAUCUAAGGUAAGUACCAUCCCAGAAAUACAACUUCACAUAUAUUCAACAUAAUAUCAAUUCAUCUAUUACAUGCCAUAUCACCCAAUAUAAACAUUCAAAAACUACCGAAGAUUUUUGGAUAGUGUGAUUCUUUGAGUCGAUCCGAUCGCCCAUAUCUUCAAGAAUGUAUCUACAAGAGAACAACAUAAAAGACACAAGUAAACUUACUUAAGCUUAGUAAUUUCCAAUGAUUAAAAAUGGUUAACUUACCUAAUAAAAUUAUCUAAUACAGAAUACAAAAAAGUCAUAAAUCAUAAUCCUGUCAUCCAUAAUCAAAUCACGGGUGAGUUUUAAACUUAAUUGCAAAUGUAACAAUCCAAACAAUUACAUUAUACCAAACUUACAUAUUUAUAACCCUAUUUACAUGCCACUCAUAACCGAGCCAAAAUAAACAGAUAGCUACCAAAUAAGUUGUUAAAUAGUGUGAUCUUCCAAUAUGUUCCAAUCAAUAGCAAAAUUCCGAUGAUCUGCAAAGAAGGAAACCAAAGAAAGUAAGCUUUUAAUAAGCUUAGUGAGUUUGUAACCAAAACAAUUCAUACCUGUUAACUUAAUUAUAAAACAACAAAACAUGAAAUUAACAAUCCUUGCCAUAAAUCAUCAUUCAACUUCUCAAAAUACUUAAACUUGGAUGAUUCAUAUCAUCAAAACAUAAUGUGUCAAAUAACCAUAUACUAAUAUACAAAUUAUCAUAACGUCUCAUACCAUUUUCCUUUAAUAGAUAAUUGUUUCGCUCAGAGAACCAUAGUAAAUAAAAUUUGAACAAAUGGGAGGAAAAUGCUCCUACGAGCUAACAUAAGGACAUUAACCGAUACACGAUGCUGCUUACACAAACUUCAAAGAAUCCGCAACACAUAUGACCUCAAGUCAUUGGUACGGUACCCAUCACCGGUACAAAGUACCUACUAAACACACCGGCACAUAGCUGCUAAAUACAUUGGCAUGAGGCCUGCUAUGCCCUAAAUGACAUGUCAUUUGUAUCCUAGCUAUGCACUAAAUUCACACGGGCUUAUCCUGUUUUUCCCUGACAUUUCAACUUAACUUUAUACUUCAAUUUCAUAAAACAACCAAUUAAUCAUAACAACUUUCAAUUUCAUUUAAUUAAACAUGUAACAAGUAUAAUAAUUAUGAACACAGUAAAUGCAAUACAAACUUACCAACAAACAAUAGCUAACGACACGCGACGACGGUUACUCGACAACUUUUCCUUUCCCUAGUUUAUCAAUCGACUGGUCCGUUUAUUGAUCUAAAUGUACUAGUUUAAUUCAAUUACCCAAAUCAAACUUUUUAAAACACUUAAAUUUAUGAAAUUAACCCUUUAAUAACAUUUUACACAUUUACCCUAAACUUUCACCUUUUAUUCAAUUUAAUCCCUAAAACUGAAAUUCUCAUAAUUAUCACAAAACAAAAACUCUUGUGUUGAUUUCUAUAUGGUCCCUAAAUAGUCCAAUUUUAUCAUUUUAUCACAAAAAUUACAUGAUAUUUUACAAUAUUAACAACCUAGUCCCUAAACUUUAAAAUUACCUAAAAUCACUUUACAAAAUAGUCCUAUUUAACUAUCAAGCUUAAUAAACUAUCAUAAAAUUCAUAAACAUCACAAGUUCAUUCAUGGUAAAAUUCUAAAAAUUAAAACUUUUUACAAAUUAGUCUUCAGAUGAGCUAGAUUAAGUUACAACGCUAUUAAAAACAUAAAAAAAACCUAAAAUUGGAAUAAAAACCAACUUACAUGCAAGGGUCUAUAUUCAGUCGAACCUCCAAGCUUUCAAAAAUGGUCAAACGAUUGAAAAUGAAAAUAAGAAAGAAGAUGACAAAGUUUGGUUUAUGUUUUAACUAAUAUUAUUAUAACAUUUUAAUCAAAAUGGACAUAUAACUUAUUAUUUUCUAUUCAUUAACCGUCCACCUUAAGGUAUUAUGGUUUAAUUACUAAUUAAAACCCUCCAUUCAUGAUUUUAUAUUCAUUUAACACAUAUAACUUAAUAAUGGCUUACUUUUACAGCUUUUACAAUUUAGUUCUUUUUACUUAAUUAACUAUUUAAACGUUAAAAUUUCUUAACCAAAUUUUAAUAAUAAAAAUUGAUUCACUGGUUAGAAUUGUGGUCCCGAAACCAUUGUUUUUGACACCACUGAAAAUGGGUUGUUAUAGAAGUCUUGGGGGUCUUGUUAUCAAGAUACUCAUUACUCGGUAUCGCGAUAUGGUUAUAGUUGGCCUCAAGUUUCUUCAUUUUAGCAUUAUCAGGGGUAUCAUGACUUCCAUGCCUCAAUAUCAUGAUACCCCUAUUCUAAGUGAUGUUUUCUUCACAUUUGGACCGUUAUCGACUUCCUACACCACUCAAUCUUAUUGUUAGGUUCCCUAUGACAUGAUUGCCAAUUUGGGUAUAAAAAAUGACACAAAACUAAUAAAAUUUAUUAACAACAAAACUAAAAAUCAACAAAGGUAAAGAAAAGACACAUAAUUUGCUUGAGAAUAAGCUCUUUAAGUGUAAUGGAUAACCCAGUUUGACGUAUCAAAUUACGAUGGAUCAUCUUUCAACUGAACAACUUUCUCCGCUAUUCUUUUACCCUGAAUUGCGUUGAGUUUAUGCUUGAGCAACACAAACCAAACACAUAAUAAGAAACGAUUUUAUUACUUUCAAUAGGAAAGUAAUUGUCUCAAUAAAAAUUGGUAGAAAUUCUAAUUUAUAGAAAAUAAAAAUUAUUUUAAGAAAAUAAAUUUUCACUACUUUCUGGCAGAAUAAUAAUUUAUGAAACUUAUGUGUAAAUAACUCUACCAAUGCCAUCUAUUUAAUAGAAACACACUUCUACUCCAAACUGGAGUAUGGUGGGUGUGUCACCCUAGAUAAUAACACUAGGGUUGACGCCCCUUCAUGAAAUAUAAAGGGAUUUGCGCCUUUCCUAUAUUGGGUCCAAUUAUACGUGCUUCUUGAACUUUUGACCUAGUACUUUAAAAUUUAAUCUAAUGCAAUAUUUAUUUUCUAUUUCCCAAAAUAAAUAUUAAUUAAUUAAAUUAACUAAAUUAAUUUUCCAAUUAAAUAAUUUUCUCAACUCAAUUCUAAUUCUUUUAAAGUCAUGACGACUUUACUGUAAAAUAAUCUAUGAUGAAAUAUAUUUAAUUUUCAUAUUUAAUGGAUUCAUAAUGACUAAUUAAUUUAAUUCCAUUUUUGAACUUCAAUUAUUUAAUUAUAAAUAAUUAAAUAAUAACUUGAAAAUCUUAAAUUAAUUCUCAAGUCAUUUCUAUACUCAGUGAGAAAACACAUUCAUUUGUGAAUGCAACCCAUUUUUCUAACUUCAUCAUUUCCAUCCAUUUAUGUUAAUUUGGUUCUAUAUGCAAUUCAUUCUUGGUUUCAGUGAGCUAAUGGAGGGACCAAUUGGACAUAUGUAAUUAGCAUUCAAAUAUUUUGUAAUUAAGUUUCAGUUUUUUGCCUAUUAGUUAUAAACCUAUUUAGUCACGAAGUGAUUCCACUAUAUUAUUGUGAUUGAAUCCUCCCUAAUUACAUACCAUUACAAAAGUUAAUUAAUCAGUGCUCGUGCAAUGACCUUAUCAUUAGUGUGUUACCCUCAUAGGAUAUCCUUAAUCUUUUUGGGAUAAAUUCGUUCUUCCAAUAUGAUCAUAUUUAAUCUCAUGGUAAUGAAUACAUAUUCCUUCAUGAAAAGUCAAUUACUAUUAAAUAGUAAUUAAGUCAUUUAUCAACAAGACAAAUGACCUGUGGUCAUGUUUGCCUUUCAUCCAUCAUAUAAUAUCGAUGGGAGGAUAUCAUUUACCUAUUAGUUGGGCUAUGAAAUCCACUAUUGUGAAUGAUGCUACGAACUGUAGAAGCCGUAUUCCCAGUACACCAGCUUUCGGUUCCUUAUCAAUUUGAACUUGGGUUUUUACUUACAUCAUAAUAUACAAGUCACUCAUACAUAGUCUAUCAUCCACUCAAGGUUAACGUAUGUCACGCUAUGAACGUCACAAAUGAAUAAAUCCAUAAAUGAAUCUAGGAUCUAUUCUACUUGGGUCUUAUCCGAUCUGUUAUCAGUCUAAUCAAUUACAUUUAUAUCUCUAUCUUUUGGGAGUCAUUCACUUUUAUUCUUAAGAGAAAACAUCUCUCCAAUUGGACUUGAUAAACGACUAUAUUAGUCUUUCAAUCAAUUUUCUCAUUUCUAACUAGACUAAAGACAUGGUUAGAUUCAUUUACUAAUACAAGCUGACUUUCCAUAUUAUGAUCCGACCACGUAAUACCACUUAGUAUUAAUUAAACAUUAGAUAACCAAUGAGCCAAUAUUUGCUUUCAUUUUGCUUUGCGUAUAAAAACACCGAGGACAAUAUACUAAGGGUAUUAAUGUAAUUAAUAGAUAUUAUUAUUAAACCAAUUUGUUAAAAAAAUAUAAGUAUACAAAAUGAAUAUGCUACACUUAGGGUACUGAAUCCAACAUAUUGAGUAUUUGAUUGAUAUCUAGCCCAUAAAUGAAGAUCAUUCUAUUAGGGAAAACAUAUUUUGGAAUUUUGGAACAAACUGAAUCACCCAAGUCAAUCCUUUGGGUCAUGAACAUUUGGAUUAAAUUGGAACUCUAACUGAUUAGCGGUCAAGAGUCCAUAUUUGUAUUACUUACUAUUAUUUUAUUGUAAUUAGAUUAUAUUAUUAUAAUUUUAAUGGGAUUAUGAUAAGUCUCAGUGAUAGCUACUAUAUGAUUAUAAUUACAUGCAUUUCCUUAUUAAUAUGACAUUUUUUUUCAUUCAUUCUCAAUAAAUAUCGAUAUUGAAAAUGUUGAAGGUGUGAUUUGAAUGUCAAUAUUUUUUACUUAUUAAUAUUUAUAAUCGUAAGUUUGUAGAUGCAUAUAAAUUUUCUCAUCGUUCUCAUGUAUAUUUGUAGGUAUUCAUUCAAGACCAUUGAACCGAUUUUAAACAUACAUGUGAGUAUCUUUGUAAUUGUAGGCUUACAAUUGCAUACAAAUAUUUCAUCAUUCUUUUGUAUAUUUUUUAAGUAUUAUUUUUAAUUUGUCUAUGUAUAUUUUCUUAGCUAUUACUGCUAUUAUGUAUAUUCAUUUUGCAUGCAUAAUUUUUUUCCCCUGUUACGUGGCACAAUGCAGUGAAAAAGAAAGUUUUAUUGGUACACUCUGCCUAUCCGAACUCUUUUACGAGUAUACAUUUUUAUUUUUAAAAUCUUUUAGUAAAUCAUGAAAGUGGAUAGAUAUUUGAGUUAAACACUACAUUUAAAAGUGUAUUCUUACCAUUCAAAUACUAUUGUUUUUUAUUUGAUUUUUUUUACUUACAUAAUGAAUAACAUUCAAAUUUUAUUUUUAAUUUUAUCUUUGAAUUUUAACAGAACAAUAUGAAUAAAAAAUAAUCAAUUUUUAUUUAAUUUAUACAUCUCAUAAAAAUAUAUAACUGUCGAAGUCUUUGAUAAAAAUGAAAAAUAUUUUAAGUGAUUCGGCUAUAGUUUUUUUUUUUUUGGAAAAAACCUAACUACACUACCUAAUCAAAAGCUAAGAUUCAACUACUCUACUAUUCCCAUAACUCUCUAAAAACACCUUGACUCUAAAGAACUUCCUCUGGAUGACUCCAUAUUGUGUGCCAUAUUGUACUGUUUCGCCCAACUCAUUGAGAUCUUAAUAGUAUCCAUAAAAUGCCAAGAUAUGCCUUAGAACACAAAAAAGUUCCUAUUCUUCCAUAUACGCCAUACACGCCAUACUAACAAACCAAAUAAUUUAGACCACGGGACCCCAUUUCUCAAAGUCCAGCCAGAGCUGUCCAAGUUGGCCUUUACCCAACCUAAAAGAUUACUAGAGAAGAAACAUUCCUAACAUCUCUUCGGUACAAAGUACUUCCAAACAUCUUUAAUAGUUGAACAAUCUCUAAGUACAUACAAAAUAUCCUCUGUGUCAUAUUGACAAAUUGGGCAUGACAUAUUUUGUCCAAUGCCCCUAUGUACACGCUCCUAGUUAAUAAACAAUCUUUGUUUACAAGUGAUCCAUAAAAAGAAGUGAAUGUGAUGAGGUCCUUGGUACUUCCAUAUAGUCUUCCACAUAUUAUCUUUCUCGUUCCACGUGGCCUUUUUUACAUAUGAUACGCAUUCUUAACUGAAAAAUCACCAUUAGCGGUUCGUGACCAAAUGAUUUUAUCAGGGCCAGCUAGAGGGUGUGGUGGUGGAAUGCUCACAAUCUGUUUGACAGUUUCUUCUGGUACUCAUUCUUUAAAAGCCUUUAAGUCCCAUACACCAUUUUCCAUUACCAUAUCUUUGAGUAAACAUUUCGUCAGUGGAACAUAUGCCGUUAAUGAUCUUACUUUUGGAAUCCAAGAAUCUUCCCAAAAACGAACCGAUGCUCCUGUCCCAAUGGACCAACACAAGUUCUCUCUCAGUAAUGGCCAAACCUUUGCAAUCGCUCCCCAUAUAGUUGAACAAUUACUCUUCCUAAUAUCUUCAAGAAUCCUUUCUUUUACCCCCAUAUUUUGACCACAAAAUCCUUACCAAUAAAUCCUCUUCUUUGGUAACCAGAUUAUACCCUAAUUUUAAUAGGAAUGAGGUGUUUUGAUCAUCUAAGUGUUGGUGACCUAGGCCAGGACAUAGUCGUGGCUAACAUAUAGAGUCCCAGUCAACCAGUGCUAGUUUCCAUUUCCUCAUACUAGAUAUCCAGAUGAAUUGCCUAGCUAACUUCUCAAUCCCUCACAUACUCUUUUUGGGAUUCUCAUCAAUUGCAUAAAAUAAUUUGGAAUAGAGAGGAUAACUGAUUGCGCCAAAGUGAACCUUUCUACCAAAGGAAGUUGUUUUGCAUCCCAAUUACAUAGUCUCAUUCUGACCUUUUCACUUACAAACCCCAAAGUGGCUUUAGUAACUCUUUUGUCAAAGAAUGGAAUUCUUAAAUAUGAACCCAACUCAUUGACUUUUUGGAAACCCAGUAGUCUGCUCAAAUUAUUGCUUAAGGUGUCACCUACUAAUUGUGAGAAGAACACAUUAGUUUUCCUUGCAUUAAUCCGAUGCCCUAAUAAACUGCAUAAUUGCUCCAGUAUACUUUCCAGACGUAAUCCAAGCUUUGUGUCGACUACAAUUUUGAUAUGUUGUAAAACAUCAAAAUUUUUCAUUCUUAUUUUUUUAGGGUAAACUACAAAAAUAAUCACUUUUGUUCACCUCAGGUUAUAGUUUAGUCACUUAUGUUUACAAUGUUAUAUUUUAGUCACUUACGUUAUCGUUUUGUUACGAAGAGGUCACUCUACUGUUAAGCUCAGUUACCUUCCUAACUGCAGUCCUAUGUGGCAGUCCAAAUGCCAACUUGGAUGUUCAAUUGCUGAGAUGAAAAAUGAAAAUAGGUUUUUAAUUAAAAAAAUUUAAUUUGGACUGCCACGUAGGACUGUCGUUAGGGAGGUAACGGAGUUUAACGGUAGAGUGACCACUUCGUAACAAAACAAUAACGUAAGUGACUAAAACGUAGCAUUUGUGACAGCCCAAAAUUGACCCUAGUCGGGAAGUGGUUUCGGGACUGCUAAACCGAGUCAUAAAAAUAAUUAACCGUCAUAAUUGAUGCUCAUUAUAUGUACAUGUGCAUGUGUGAAAAUUUUGUGUUUGAAUUUUAUUUAAUUGUAGGUGAAUUUUAGUAAAUAGGACAUAUGUGAGAAAAUUUUGAAAUGUGAUAGGUCAAAGCAUAAGGAUUUAUUAGUGCAUGAAAUAAAAAGGGGGGACUUGCAUGUCAAUUUCCCCCCGAAUUAGUAGUGGCCGGCCAUGACAAGCAUGGUAGACCAAGUGUGAUGGGCAAGAACAUGUCAUAAACAUGUUGAGUUAGUGUUUCAUGGGAAGUAUGAUAAAAUAAGGAGCAUGGGCAUAAAAUAAUGAAAGGGAAUAUGAUGAAAACAAAAAAAAAAGUGUGUGGUUGUUCCCCCCCCCAUUUUGCCGAAACUAGAAAGAAAAAACAAAAAAAAAAGUGUCCAUCUUCCUUCAUUUCCCUUGGCCGAAUGUUCUAAGGAAGAAAGAAAAACAAGUUGUGUUCUUUGGUUCUUCUUGGCCGAAUUGAAAAGAAAAUUGAAGUUAAGGCAUUUGGUCACCUUUAAGUUGAUUAAGAAGCUCUUGAAUAUUCGGUGCCUAGGGGAAAAGUUUCUAAGAAGUUUGGCCAUGCAUGUAACUAGAUUGAGGUAUGUUUGAUAUUAUUCUUUGAGAUUCAUGUAUAUUUUAAGUUGUAAGUUUGAAAUCUACCUAGCCAUGGUUCAAAUUUUGUUAAUUGAUGGAGAUGAUAUUCGGCCAUGAAUGUUACAUUCUUGGUUGGUAUUUUGAUGUCUUUGGCGAUGAGGUAUGAAGAUGGUUGAUUUUGAGUGUUUAAUAAAAAGGAUACAUGAAUUAUUGUUAAAUAAUGGUCGAAUGUAGCAUGAUUAAAGAUGUGAAUAAAUUGAAGUUAAGGAGGUUGUCAAUGAAAAAUAUGAGUUGGAUGAGUUUUAAAGAAUAAAAAUUUAGGUGACUAGAGGUCAAGGACAUUCGGUCAAAGGCUUGUGUGCUAGCAAAAUCGGCCUAAAUGUCGUUUUGAUGUGUUGAAUUGAGUAAGCUAGAUGUUGGAACACAUAAGGAUUCGGCCUUCUAAAACAAUAGAGAUAAGUGUAUGAAAGGCUAAGUUUAAGUAGUAAGGCCGAAUAGGUUGUAGAUAAGGCACUUGUGAGUUCUUGGCCAAGCAAUUGACAAAUUAAAUUAGAGUUCUUGUGACGUAUAAUGUCAAGUCUAACUUGGUAUAUUUGGCCACCUAAUUAAGUACAUUGGUGGUGUUGAAUGUAAUCUUACACAUUCGGCCAUAUGGGGUAAAAAUGGGUCGAGUGUUCAUGAGAUGAAAUUAGGUGUUUAAAUGAUGUUAUAGUUGACAUUGUGCAUAUAUACAUGCAUUCGGCCAUCUAAUUGAGUAUGAAGGUGGUGUUAAAUCUAAUUGUGAUGCCCAUUCCGAAGUAUAUAUAUAUACAUAUAUAUAUACAUAAGUAUGCCCAUUCGUGAUGUUACCUUUAAUUAUGUGUAUAAUCGACUAAAUGGGUAAUUAGUGAGGAUGGUUGCCGAAUAUACAGACAUACAUAUGCAUGUGUAAUUGAAUUAUGAAUGUUUAGCAAGAUGGUUAAACUAGUUGAUUUAUUGAUUAAGCUCAAGGAGUUAAAGGAGGAGAAUCAAGCAAAGGCAAAGAAAAGAUCAUCGAGUAGCCGAGUUGGAACCGUCUUACCCAACACAAAGUAAGUCAUUAAGCAUAUAGUUUGUAUUAAUUUAAAUGGUCAUAACGUCUAUGUAAUGAUGCUGAAUGGAAUGAUAAAUAUAUAUAUACAUGUAUGCAUGUGGUGAUGAAAGUGUUGAAUGAAAAGAAAAGAGGUGAGAUGUAUUGAGUUGUUGAUCUCGGCACUAAGUGUGCGGGUAUAAACAUUUAUGAUCAUGAGAUUGGCACUAAGUGUGCGGGUUUAAAUUGUACAGCACUAAGUGUGCGAGUUUGAUUAUAUAGCACUAAGUGUGCGAGUUUGAUUAUAUAGCACUAAGUGUGCGAGUUGAUUAUAUAGCACUGAGUGUGCGGACUUAAUAUAUACUUUUGAAUCACUAUGGACACUAAGUGUGUGACAUUAUUGAGUUGAUCACGGACAGCGGAUCGGGUAAGUACCUUGAGUUCAUGGCUAAUAGGCGCUAUGUUUAUAUUUGGAGUUGAGCUUGGUAAGUUUGAACCUAUGUGACAAUUAUAAUUGAAGUCACGUACAUAAGAUUUAUCGUGGAAUAGGUGAAAGGUCGUUUAGUUGUAUGAUUGUAACGAAAAUACAAUGAUGUAUGAAAAUGCCUCAAAUAUCCUAUUGAUUAGUAUAUGGAAUGUGAAUGCAUGACUUGGUAUGAGAUUGAACCGAUAGGUCUAAGGAACUAUGGUAUGGUUCGGUAUGGAUGGAGUAACUAGCCUCGUUCCAUUUUGUUUCCUCUUGUGAUAAUGUUAUUAAUGGAUGGUAGUGCAUUGCUUAUGAAUUACUGAGUUAUAUACUCACUCGGUGUUUCCUUGUCACCUAUUUUAGGUUUCUUGGACUCGUCUCUUUUUGCGUGAUCGGGCCGUCAUCAAAGUCAUCACACCGGCUAGCAACUUUUGGUAUCUUCUUUUUAGUCGGUCUAGGAGAACAUUUCGGCAUGUAUAGGCUAAUAUGUUUUGUUGAAAUUUGGUAUGUAAACUUUUAGCCAUGCGAAAAUGGCAUAAAUGUUCGGUUGGAUUUGGUUCUAUAAUGUUAGGUCGUAAGUCUUGGAAAUUCGAUUUUUAUGCCAUAUGUCAUGGUUGAUUAUUUUUGGUGUCAAAAUUCAUGAUAUGGCAAUAGUGUAGUAGGGAGAUGUUUGACACUGAUUAGCCCUUGGCAUGGCUAGUCAUGAUCAUAAUUUGUGAUAUGUAUGAUGAAUUACUAGUUAGAUCAAGGAGAAAUCACGAAAUAGGCAUAGUUGCUUUAGUAACAGAUGCUGGCAGCAGCAGUGACGUGAGAUUGAAAAAUCACUAAAAAUAGUAGGAGUGGAAUUAAUUAAUGAAUAAAUUAUGUAAUCGAAUCUCGAUGAGUCUAUUUUCAUAUAGAAGAAACGAAACGACCAUAUGAGCUGUAUGUUAGGAGAUAAUUAAACUCUUGUGAAACAGGGCCAGAGUGAUUUCUGGAUUCCCUGUUCCGACUUUGGAAAUUCAUUAUAAAUUAACCAGAGAUAAUUAGAAGCCAUGCCAUAUGUGCAUAGAUUCCCCUUCGAGUCUAGUUUCUAUAGAAACAAACGACAUCAGUAAUGAAGCCCUGUACAGGGAGAUAUCCAAGUCGUAAUGCGCAAAGGUCAGUAUAGUCGAUCCCUGUAACAUGGGAGACUUUGACUAAUAAACUGUACUAAUUGGCCCAACCAAAAAUUCUAGAAAAAAAUAUGUAGAUGAGCAUGUGAGUCUAGUUUCAGGGAAAAUUUACGGAACUGGAUUUCGAGUUUCAGAACUCAAGAUAUGAUUUUUAAAGCGACUAGUACGCAGAUUGGCAGCUUGUCUGGGAAAUUUUUUUUAAGUGGUUUGAAGUCUGUUAACACCUCGUGUUCGACUCCGGCGACGGCCUCGGGUUCGGGGUGUUACAUGUGAUUGGUAUCAGAGCUAUGGUUUAGUCGGUUCUAGGACUACCAUCGCACGUAUGAGUCUAGCUGUACAUGCCUUAAUGUUAAUGUUUAAAUGUGUGAUGACUUCUGACGGUUAAAAUUUUUGUUUUGAUUAGUAAAUGGAUCCCGGUGUAGAGAGAACCUUGGCGGAUGACGUUGAAAGUGUAGCGGCUGCUCCUGCACAAGGGACGCCGCCUGUUGAACCUCAGUCAUCUGCGAAUAAUCAAGGUGAGGGGGCUAAACAAGCCUUCUUUACCAUGAUGAAUGAGUGGGUCACGCAAUAUGCUCGAACCAAUCCGGCUGUCCAACAAUUCCCGAAUUUGAAUAAUCUACCCCAAGAGCCCGUAAUGCCAUCAGUUACUGAUCCUGUGAGGUUGAGUAAGCCACCUGUAGACUAGAUUAGGAAGCGCGGGGCUGAGGAGUUCAGGGCCAUAGUUACUGAUGAUGCUGAAAGGGCCGAGUUCUGGCUUGAUAACACCAUUCGGGUGUUUGAUGAACUGUCAUGCACGCCCGAUGAAUUUCUAAAGUGUGCUAUAUCCUUGUUGCGGGACUCAGCCUACUAUUGGUGGAGGACCCUGAUUUCCAUAGUCCCAAACGAACGAGUUACUUGGGACUUCUUUCAAACGGAAUUUCGAAAGAAAUAUAUUAGUCAACGGUUCAUUGACCAAAAGCGUAAGGAAUUCUUGGAACUCAAGCAAGGUCGUAUGACAGUAUCUGAAUACGAACAUGAAUUCGUAAGACUCAGUAGGUAUGCCCGAGAGUGUGUAGCUGAUGAGGUUGCUAUGUGCAAAAGAUUCGAAGAAGGGUUGAAUGAAGAUUUAAAGCUACUAGUGGGUAUUUUGGAGAUAAAAGAAUUCGUGACACUAGUCGAACGAGCCUGCAAGGCGGAAGAACUUGGAAAGGAGAAGAAGAAGGCUGAAUUUAAAGCUAGAGACUAUCGUAAAAGAUCGACGGGUAAAGCUCCGUUCUCAGCUGUAAAGAAGUUCAGGGAGGACACUAAUAAGUCGAGGACGACUGCGGGAAUUUCCAUCAGAGCACGACCACCGACGGACUCCCGAGCUACUUCGGUAGCUAGUGUGGGCAAUAAUCGUCAAGAGAAACCUGAAUGUCCCCAAUGCGGAAGACGACACCUAGGUGAAUGUUGGGGUAAGUCUACUAACAGGGCCUGUUACGGAUGUGGUUCGAAGGACCACUUCAUUAGAGAUUGCACGGAGCUUGAUGAGAAGAAUAAGAUUCAAGGUGCAAGACCUAGUGGAGUGACAACUAGAGGUAGACCACCGAGAAUUUUAGGAGGUAGGGGUGGUAGUUAGAGAGGGGCCUCUGAUACGGCUGUUCGAGUCGAGAACCGUACUCCUGCUAGAGCAUAUGCCAUUCGCGCACGAGAGGAGGCAUCCUCCCCUGACGUCAUCACUGGUACCUUCACUCUCUUUGAUACUAAUGUGAUUGCAUUGAUUGACCCUGGCUCUACUCAUUCAUAUGUAUGUGAAACCUUAGCAUCCAGUAAGACUCUACCUGUUGAGUCUACUGAGUUCGUAAUUCGAGUGUCAAACGCUUUGGGUCAAUACGUACUUGUUGAUAAAGUGUGUAAGAGAUGCCCUCUAAUAAUCUGAGAAUCCUGUUUUAAGGCCGAUUUGAUGCUUUUGCCGUUUGACGAAUUUGAUGUUAUUCUUGGUAUGGAUUGGUUGACCGUACAUGAUGCAGUGGUGAACUGCAAAAGAAAAACCAUCGAUUUGAGGUGCGCAAAUAACGAGAUAAUCCGAGUUGAGUCUACGGACUUAAAGGGGUUGCCAGCUAUAAUAUCCUCAAUGUUGGCCCAGAAAUAUGUAAGAAAAGGGUGCGAAGCAUACCUUGCAUAUGUACUUGAUGACAAAGAAUUAGAAAAAAAACCCGAAUCUGUACCGGUGGUUUGUGAAUACCCGGAUGUUUUUCCUGAAGAAUUACCGGGUUUACCACCUGUUCGGGAGGUAGAGUUUGGUAUUGAGCUUGUACCUGGAACUACGCCAAUUUCGAUAGCUCCGUAUCGUAUGGCACCAACCGAGUUAAAGGAAUUGAAAGCUCAAUUGCAAGAGUUGACGGAUAGAGGUUUCGCUCGACCAAGUUUCUCACCUUGGGGUGCACCAGUAUUGUUCGUGAAAAAGAAGGACGGAACCAUGAGGUUGUGCAUUGACUAUCGUCAGCUGAAUAAAGUGACAAUAAAGAACAAAUAUCCGUUACCGCGUAUCGAUGAUUUGUUCGACCAACUGAAGGGAGCCUCAGUGUUCUCAAAAAUAGAUUUGAGAUCGGGCUAUUAUCAGUUGCGAAUUCGAGAUUCGGACAUACCCAAAACUGCCUUCAGAACGAGAUAUGGUCACUACGAGUUCUUAGUGAUGCCGUUUGGGCUCACUAAUGCCCCUGCGGUAUUUAUGGAUUUGAUGAAUCGGAUCUUCAGACAGUAUUUGGACCGGUUCGUAGUUGUGUUCAUUGAUGACAUCUUGGUCUAUUCAAGAGAUGAGACCGAACAUGCUGAGCACCUGAGAUUAGUGUUGCAAAUUUUGCGGGAUAAGCAGUUAUAUGCUAAGUUCAGUAAGUGUGAGUUCUGGUUAAGAGAGGUUAGCUUCUUGGGUCAUGUGGUAUCCGCAUCGGGUAUUCGAGUUGACCCGAGCAAAAUUUCAGCCAUACUUAACUGGAAGCCUCCAAGAAAUAUUACCGAAGUUCGGAGCUUCCUGGGGCUCGCCGGUUAUUACCGAUGAUUUGUAAAAGGUUUCUCGAUGAUAGCCACACCAAUGACGAAGCUACUUCAAAAGGAUGCUAAGUUCGAAUGGACGGAGAAAUGUCAAAAAAGUUUCGAUCAACUGAAAACUUAUUUGACUGAGCUCCAAUUUUAGUGCAACCCGAAUCAGGCAAAGAGUUUGUCAUUUAUAGUGACGCAUCCCUACUUGGGUUGGGUUGCGUAUUGAUGCAAGAAGGUCGAGUGGUGGCCUAUGCGUCGAGACAAUUAAAGCCACAUGAGAAAAAUUAUCCGACCCAUGAUCUCGAACUAGCUGCCAUCGUAUUCGCUUUAAAAAUAUGGCGACAUUACUUAUUUGGUGAAAAGUGUCAUGUAUUUUCGGAUCACAAAAGUCUCAAAUAUUUGAUGACUCAAAGAGACUUAAAUCUGCGACAAAGACGUUGGCUUGAGUUGUUGAAAGAUUACGAGCUUGUCAUUGAUUACCACCCGGGAAAGACUAAUGUGGUUGCGGACGCCUUAAGCCGGAAAUCACUGUUUGCUUUACGAGCGAUGAAUGUGCACUUUUCUGUUCUACCCGACAAUGUGUUAGUAGCUGAAUUAAAGGCCAAACCAUUAUUGAUUCGUCAAAUUCGUGAAGCUCAGAAAGUCGACGAUGAAUUGGUUGCAAAACGGGCUGAAUGUGUUCCGAAUAUGGAAUCCGAAUUUCAAAUUGAUGAUGACGAUUGUUUGAGGUUCAGAAGUCGGUUGUGUGUUCCAAGAAAUUCAGAACUCAUUUCGAUGAUUAUGAACGAAGCCCAUUGUAGCCGAAUGUAAAUUCACCCGGGGAGUACGAAAAUGUACAACGAUUUGAAACGUCGGUUUUGGUGGCAUGGUAUGAAACGAGACAUCUCCGACUUUGUUUCGAGAUGUUUAAUAUGUCAACAAGUGAAAGCGGAACAUCAAGUGCCUUCAGGAUUACUUCAGCCGAUCAUGAUACCCGAGUGAAAAUGGGAUCGAGUCACAAUGGACUUUGUGUCCGGACUGCCAUUGUCAGCAAGUAAGAAGGAUGCGAUUUGGGUUGUUGUUGAUAGACUGACUAAGUCGGCUCACUUUAUCCCCGUGCGUACGGAUUUUUCAUUGGAUAAACUAGCCGAAUUGUAUGUUUCUCAGAUUGUGAGAUUACACGGGGUACCUAUUUCUAUCGUGUCGGAUAGAGAUCCGAGAUUCACCUCGCGAUUUUGGAAGAAAUUGCAAGAAGCUUUGGGUACCAAGCUGUAUUUUAGCACCGCUUUUCAUCCACAAACCGAUGGUCAAUCCGAGCGGAUAAUUCAGAUACUUGAGGAUAUGUUGAGAUGUUGCAUCCUCGAGUUUAGUGGUUCAUGGGAACGGUAUUUACCUUUGAUUGAAUUCGCUUACAACAAUAGUUUUCAAUAAAGUAUUAAGAUGGCACCUUACGAGGCUUUGUACGGUCGUAAAUGCCGUACACCAUUGUUUUGGACCGAGCUCGGUGAAAGUAAAAUUUUCGGAGUUGAUUUGAUUAAAGAUGCCGAACAGAAAGUAAAGGUAAUCCGUGAAAGUCUGAAAGCAGCCACAGAUCGUCAGAAAUCGUAUGCGGAUUUGAAACGAAAAGACAUUGAAUAUCAGGUGGGAGAUAAAGUGUUUUUUAAAGUUUCACCUUGGAAAAAGGUACUCAGAUUUGGCCGUAAGGGCAAGUUGAGUCCGAGAUUCAUUGGGCCGUACGAAAUCUCCGAACGAGUUGGUCCAGUUGCAUAUCGAUUGAUUUUGCCCCCUGAACUUGAAAAGAUCCACGACGUCUUUCAUGUUUCGAUGCUUCGACGCUAUAGAUCUGAUCCAUCGCACAUAAUUAGCCCAUCAGAGGUUGAAAUUCAAGCCGAUAUGAGUUAUGAAGAAGAACCGAUGCGUAUCCUAGCUCGUGAAGUAAAGGAGUUGCGAAACAAAAGGGUUCCGCUAGUAAAGGUGUUAUGGCUCAAACACGGGAUCGAGGAAGCUACUUGGGAAACCGAGAGCUCGAUGAAAGAACGAUACCCAAACUUAUUUACCGGUAAGAUUUUCGGGGACGAAAAUUUCUUAAGUGGGGAAGAGUUGUGACAGCCCAAAAUUGACCCUAGUCGGGAAGUGGUUUCGGGACCGCUAAACUGAGUCAUAAAAAUAAUUAACCGUCAUAAUUGAUGCUCAUUAUAUGUACAUGUGCAUGUGUGAAAAUUUCGUGUUUGAAUUUUGUUUAAUUGUAGGUGAAUUUUAGUAAAUAGGACUUAUGUGAGAAAAUUUUGAAAUGUGAUAGGUCAAAGCAUAAGGAUCUAUUAGUGCAUGAAAUAAAAAGGGGGGACUUGCAUGUCAAUUUCCCCCCUAAUUAGUAGUGGCCGGCCAUGACAAGCAUGGUAGACCAAGUGUGAUGGGCAAGAACAUGUCAUAAACAUGUUGAGUUAGUGUUUCAUGGGAAGUAUGAUAAAAUAAGGAGCAUGGGCAUAAAAUAAUGAAAGGGAAUAUGAUGAAAACAAAAAAAAAAGUGUGUGGUUGUUCCCCCCCCAUUUUGCCGAAACUAGAAAGAAAAAACAAAAAAAAAAGUGUCCAUCUUCCUUCAUUUCCCUUGGCCGAAUGUUCUAAGGAAGAAAGAAAAACAAGUUGUGUUCUUUGGUUCUUCUUGGCCGAAUUGAAAAGAAAAUUGAAGUUAAGGCAUUUGGUCACCUUUAAGUUGAUUAAGAAGCUCUUGAAUAUUCGGUGCCUAGGGGAAAAGUUUCUAAGAAGUUUGGCCAUGCAUGUAACUAGAUUGAGGUAUGUUUGAUAUUAUUCUUUGAGAUUCAUGUAUAUUUUAAGUUGUAAGUUUGAAAUCUACCUAGCCAUGGUUCAAAUUUUGUUAAUUGAUGGAGAUGAUAUUCGGCCAUGAAUGUUACAUUCUUGGUUGGUAUUUUGAUGUCUUUGGUGAUGAGGUAUGAAGAUGGUUGAUUUUGAGUGUUUAAUAAAAAGGAUACAUGAAUUAUUGUUAAAUAAUGGUCGAAUGUAGCAUGAUUAAAGAUGUGAAUAAAUUGAAGUUAAGGAGGUUGUCAAUGAAAAAUAUGAGUUGGAUGAGUUUUAAAGAAUAAAAAUUUAGGUGACUAGAGGUCAAGGACAUUCGGUCAAAGGCUUGUGUGCUAGCAAAAUCGGCCUAAAUGUCGUUUUGAUGUGUUGAAUUGAGUAAGCUAGAUGUUGGAACACAUAAGGAUUCGGCCUUCUAAAACAAUAGAGAUAAGUGUAUGAAAGGCUAAGUUUAAGUAGUAAGGCCGAAUAGGUUGUAGAUAAGGCACUUGUGAGUUCUUGGCCAAGCAAUUGACAAAUUAAAUUAGAGUUCUUGUGACGUAUAAUGUCAAGUCUAACUUGGUAUAUUUGGCCACCUAAUUAAGUACAUUGGUGGUGUUGAAUGUAAUCUUACACAUUCGGCCAUAUGGGGUAAAAAUGGGUCGAGUGUUCAUGAGAUGAAAUUAGGUGUUUAAAUGAUGUUAUAGUUGACAUUGUGCAUAUAUACAUGCAUUCGGCCAUCUAAUUGAGUAUGAAGGUGGUGUUAAAUCUAAUUGUGAUGCCCAUUCCGAAGUAUAUAUAUAUACAUAUAUAUAUACAUAAGUAUGCCCAUUCGUGAUGUUACCUUUAAUUAUGUGUAUAAUCGACUAAAUGGGUAAUUAGUGAGGAUGGUUGCUGAAUAUACAGACAUACAUAUGCAUGUGUAAUUGAAUUAUGAAUGUUUAGCAAGAUGGUUAAACUAGUUGAUUUAUUGAUUACGCUCAAGGAGUUAAAGGAGGAGAAUCAAGCAAAGGCAAAGAAAAGAUCAUCGAGUAGCCGAGUUGGAACCGUCUUACCCAACACAAAGUAAGUCAUUAAGCAUAUAGUUUGUAUUAAUUUAAAUGGUCAUAACGUCUAUGUAAUGAUGCUGAAUGGAAUGAUAAAUAUAUAUAUACAUGUAUGCAUGUGGUGAUGAAAGUGUUGAAUGAAAAGAAAAGAGGUGAGAUGUAUUGAGUUGUUGAUCUCGGCACUAAGUGUGCGGGUAUAAACAUUUAUGAUCAUGAGAUUGGCACUAAGUGUGCGGGUUUAAAUUGUACAGCACUAAGUGUGCGAGUUUGAUUAUAUAGCACUAAGUGUGCGAGUUUGAUUAUAUAGCACUAAGUGUGCGAGUUGAUUAUAUAGCACUGAGUGUGCGGACUUAAUAUAUACUUUUGAAUCACUAUGGACACUAAGUGUGUGACAUUAUUGAGUUGAUCACGGACAGCGGAUCGGGUAAGUACCUUGAGUUCAUGGCUAAUAGGCGCUAUGUUUAUAUUUGGAGUUGAGCUUGGUAAGUUUGAACCUAUGUGACAAUUAUAAUUGAAGUCACGUACAUAAGAUUUAUCGUGGAAUAGGUGAAAGGUCGUUUAGUUGUAUGAUUGUAACGAAAAUACAAUGAUGUAUGAAAAUGCCUCAAAUAUCCUAUUGAUUAGUAUAUGGAAUGUGAAUGCAUGACUUGGUAUGAGAUUGAACCGAUAGGUCUAAGGAACUAUGGUAUGGUUCGGUAUGGAUGGAGUAACUAGCCUCGUUCCAUUUUGUUUCCUCUUGUGAUAAUGUUAUUAAUGGAUGGUAGUGCAUUGCUUAUGACUUACUGAGUUAUAUACUCACUCGGUGUUUCCUUGUCACCUAUUUUAGGUUUCUUGGACUCGUCUCUUUUUGCGUGAUCGGGCCGUCAUCGAAGUCAUCACACCGGCUAGCAACUUUUGGUAUCUUCUUUUUAGUCGGUCUAGGAGAACAUUUCGGCAUGUAUAGGCUAAUAUGUUUUGUUGAAAUUUGGUAUGUAAACUUUUAGCCAUGCGAAAAUGGCAUAAAUGUUCGGUUGGAUUUGGUUCUAUAAUGUUAGGUCGUAAGUCUUGGAAAUUCGAUUUUUAUGCCAUAUGUCAUGGUUGAUUAUUUUUGGUGUCAAAAUUCAUGAUAUGGCAAUAGUGUAGUAGGGAGAUGUUUGACACUGAUUAGCCCUUGGCAUGGCUAGUCAUGAUCAUAAUUUGUGAUAUGUAUGAUGAAUUACUAGUUAGAUCAAGGAGAAAUCACGAAAUAGGCAUAGUUGCUUUAGUAACAGAUGCUGGCAGCAGCAGUGACGUGAGAUUGAAAAAUCACUAAAAAUAGUAGGAGUGGAAUUAAUUAAUGAAUAAAUUAUGUAAUCGAAUCUCGAUGAGUCUAUUUUCAUAUAGAAGAAACGAAAUGACCAUAUGAGCUGUAUGUUAGGAGAUAAUUAAACUCUUGUGAAACAGGGCCAGAGUGAUUUCUGGAUUCCCUGUUCCGACUUUGGAAAUUCAUUAUAAAUUAACCAGAGAUAAUUAGAAGUCAUGCCAUAUGUGCAUAGAUUCCCCUUCGAGUCUAGUUUCUAUAGAAACAAACGACAUCAGUAAUGAAGCCCUGUACAGGGAGAUAUCCAAGUCGUAAUGCGCAAAGGUCAGUGUAGUCGAUCCCUGUAACAUGGGAGACUUUGACUAAUAAACUGUACUAAUUGGCCCAACCAAAAAUUCUAGAAAAAAAUAUGUAGAUGAGCAUAUGAGUCUAGUUUCAGGGAAAAUUUACGGAACUGGAUUUCGAGUUUCAGAACUCAAGAUAUGAUUUUUAAAGCGACUAGUACGCAGAUUGGCAGCUUGUCUGGGAAAUUUUUUUUUAAGUGGUUUGAAGUCUGUUAACACCUCGUGUUCGACUCCGGCGACGGCCUCGGGUUCGGGGUGUUACAGCAUUUCAAACAAAAGUGACUAAAAUGUAAUUUGAGACAAACAAAAGUGACUAUUUUUAUAGUUUAAUCAUUUUUUAAUAUAUGUUAAUUUAUUUUUAUAACUCUAUUUAUAUUCAAAAAUAUUAAAUAAACAAAUAAAACCAUAUACAUUUAAAUGUAGAUAUUUAUGUUAAGUACAAAUUUUCAUUCUUAAUUUCUUUAUUUAUAAAUUUGAUCAAAUUAAUGAAAUGAAUGUUUAAUAAAAUUUAAAUAUUUAUUAUUUGAUAAACAUAAGUAUCCUUAAUAUUGUUUGACAAUUUGAUAUAGUAUUAAACUAGGAAAGCUUUUUUGGUUUAAAAUGAAAUGUAAAUAGUGAAGAAUUCAAAAUUUAAUAUAUUAAAUGAAUGGUUGCAUUAAUUUUGUUUAUUUCAACUUGUUACAUCUAGUUGCUUAUUUUUUAACAAACGGAAAAUAUCCAAAAUAAAACUAUUUUAACAGUACUGGAAAUUAAGCUUUUAGCGGCAUUUUUAGUGGCGUUUGGACCAAAAAUGCCACGAAAGUUAUACAUUAGUGGCGCUAAUCGGAAAACGCCGCAAAAGGUUAGAGCUAUAGUGGCGUUUUUUCAUAAACACUGUAAAAGGUUAGAGCUAUAGCGACAUUUUUUCAUAAACACCACAAACGAUUGGAGCUAUAGCGGCGUUUUUAUCAUAAAUGUUGCAAAAGGAAGCAAUAGCGGCAUUUUUCAUAAACGCCGUGAAUAUGUAUUAAAAUUUUGCAAAACGGUGCCGUUUUGUUAGCCCCAAAACCCCUUAAUCGUUUUUCCCCAAAUCAGUUCCCCCAUUCCCCUCCACCAAAUCCCUACUUGUUUUAUUCCGAGAACCCUUUCUGUUUUCCCCCAAAUAAGUUCCCCAUCCCUAAAAUCCCUAAUUUUUUUCCCAAAUCGUUUUCUUUUUUCCCCUAAUUUUUGAAUCUCAAAAACAAUUCCCCCUCCUCAAAAUCCCUAACUUUUUCACCAAAUCCCUUUCUUUUUUCCCCAACUUUUUUCCCUAUCUACUGCACUGCCGUUGCCAUCAAAAGUCCUCUGUUGUACCGCCGUCGCCGUCGCCGUCGAAAGCCCACUACUACAUCGCCGUCGAAAGUCCUUUGUUGCAUCACCGUCGACAGUCUGCUGCACCGUCGUGUAAGUUUUUAUGUUUAGGGUUUAGUUAGUUUGUUAAUUUAUUCUCAUCCUUCAAAUCCUAACCCACAACAACACAAAACAUCUCUUUUGCAGAAACAGCAACCCAGAGACAGCAACCUCAUCUGGUAUAUUUUCAUUUCAUUCAAUUAUUUUUUAUAUCUAUAUUUUUUUAAAUUUCGAAUAUUGUUCUUAAUUUGGUUAAGUCUCAAUAAAGUCUAUGCUUUUGUUUCAUAACAUGGUUUUAUCAUAUUCUUCCUUUUUCUUUUUUCAUUUAUUUUUCAUAAUGUCAGAUGAAUUUUCCACUUGAUUUAUUAUUUUAAAAAUAAAAUAAAAUUUUUGAUUAUUUUGGGCAUUUUUUUUGGAAAUAAUCUACAUAUUCUAAACGGAAUUUCGAUCAUGCUCUUAUCUUUGAUGGAUUCUUUUGGUUCGACUUUAUAUAGUAUACUGUUUUAGCUUACUGUUAGAUAUCAUUUGAUGGAUUCUUUUGGUUCAAAUUUGAGGCCAUCCAUCCAUUGGGUGGUAUAGGAUUUUGGGGCUGUGGAUGUAUUGCAUGCACUUUAUUUAGGAAUUUAUAAAGGAUGAAAUUGAAAUUUUGGGAUGGGAAUGAGUAGUAGCUAAUAAAAAAAAAGAAAAAAAAAUUCAGUAUUAUAAACUGAAGAAGAGGGACAGAGGGCAGUGAAUAUUUGGAAGGGAGAGCAUCCUGUUAUGUGAUCAUGUUAUAAAGGAAUUUAUAAAGGACUGUGGACUUUUUCUUUUUAUCAUAAUUAUGUAAUCAUGUUAUGUGAUAGCAUCCUGUCUUUAUUUAGUAUAUAAGUUUUGGAGUUUAGCUAUUGAACUGUGGCAGCACCAGAAUAUUACAUUUGUGUAGCAGAUAAAUUUUUAUACUAAUUAACAAUUGUGUUGCCUUCGUACAUUGAGUGUUUUGAAUAAGUUUAAUCUAACACUUUUACUUAAAUAUAAAUACCUAUUCAGUCAAAUAGGUUUUGGUUCAAUGAAAACAUUAUAAGUAAACCAUGUUAUUAUAUAAGUAAACCAGGUUAUUAUAUCUUUGUGUAUAUUCAUUUGUUCUUAAAGGUGUUGCUUAAAAUUGAAUAACAUGAGCAUAAGAAACUUUUAAGCUUUGUAUUUUCGUUGACAAGAUUAUGCUUAUACUUGGGCAUUAUUGCAUGAAAUGCCAAUCUGUUGCCAAUCAACUAUGAGUCAUGGCAUCAUAUGCCUGAUAGUAACAAAAAUCAAGCUCUCAAAAAUAUUAAGGUAAUAACAUGAAUGUAAUUUAUAAUACUUUGGUUUAAGUUUCAUUUAUAUUUACUUUCUAAAUUUGCAAGAGAGAUUUGUUUUAGAGAUCUCGGAUAAUUAUGUGAACAAGGCAUUAGGAAAGAAACGGAGAGACCAUAAAAGUACUUUUAACAAAGAAUAUUUUAAGAAAAAUAUAAGCCUCGAAGAGAAUUUGCGAAAUGUCCCACCGAGAAUGCUGAGGUACCAAUGGGAAGAUGCAGUUAGAUUUUAGAAUUCAAAGAAAGGGGAGGUAUUAUGUAUUUCCAAACUCUUAUAAUUAUUUUGGCUUAUAGUAUUUACUAUAUAAGUAUUAAUAAUUUCAUAAUGUAGGAUCGUGAACGAGUUGGAACUACAAGUAGGCAAAAACAAAAAUUCACGCACACAGCUAGGUCAAAAAGUUUUACUUGUGUAGCUGACGACGAGGUAUUUUGAAUUUAUUAAUUGUGCCAAAUAUUAAUUACUUUCUACUAAAUAAUAUUUUUCCUACUAUAUUGUAGGAACUAUCGUCUGGUCAAAAAGUUGGGCGCCUUCAGUUUUUUGACAUUACACAUAGAAAGAAAGAUGGAUCUCCUAUGACUACUGAAGUUGUAGAAAUUAUGGUAUAUUUACUUAAUAAAAUUUGAAUUAUUUUAAAUAUUUAUCAUGUUUAUUUAUAAUGGUUUAAUUCGUCGUUUGUAAUGCAAAUAAUGUCAAGUUAUGUUGCAUUUGUUUGAUUAUAUAUUUCGUUUCUAACUCCUUAAUUGAUUUAUUAGGAGAAACUAAAGGAAAAAAGGGCGGAGUAUGAAGCAAUUGCUUUAAGCAAUAGUUCUAUUAAUCUGAACAAAAUUGAUAACCGAAUUAUUACUGAAUUUUUAGGUCCUGAAAGGUAUGGUUGGGUUCAAUUUCAAGGAUCUUUUGUUAACCCAACCCAAUAUUUUGGAUCCAGCUCGUAACAAUACAUGCCUUCGGUGAAUCAGGCUCAAGCUGAAGUUCAGAGGUUAAGAGACCAAAUGACUCAGAUGCAAGUGAGCACAGUUGAACAAAUUGCUCAACUUAAAGCGGAGGAAGCAUUGAGAGAAGCAGAGGCUCAAAGAAAAUAUGAUGAACUCUAGCUACAACUUAAAGCGGAGGCAGUAGCGAGGGAAGUAGAGGCAAGCAAAAAAUAUGACGAACUCCAGUUACAACUUCAGAAUAUGAUGAAGAUGUUUCAGUAGUCGCAGAAUCCGCCAUCUUAGACUUUUGUUUUCUUAUUGUGAGAAUAUCUUAACAAUAUAACUUUUGAAUAUAAUAUAUUUUGUUAUUUCAUUUAUUAAUUUAGAUCAUAUACAUAUUUCUUUCGUGAUAGUAUCAUUUAUAUUUGAAGUUUUUGGUUGGAUUUCAUGUGACAGGAUAUUAUGUUGAAAAUUCGGGUUCUGUAUGAAUUAAAAUGGUUUGGUAAAACCUGUUAAAGUUAGUGGUGUUUUCCCACAAAGGCCGCUAAAGAACAUGACCUUUAGCGACGCUUUUCCCACAAACACUACUAAAGAACAUGACUUUUGGCAGCGCUUUCACUAAAAGCGCCUCUAAAGGUCAUGCCUCUAAAGGUCAUGUUCUUUAGAGGCGUUUGUGGGAAAAGCGCCACUAAAGGUCAUGUUCUUUAGCGGCGUUUGUGAGAAAAGCGCCGCUAAAAAUUUUGUUCUUUAGCGGUGUUUUAUGAGAAGCGCCUCUAAAGGUCAUGUUCUAUAGUGAUGUUUUCCCGCAUAAACGCCACAAAAUUUAGCAUCAUUACCUAUAGCAGUCUUUUUUGCGGCGCUUAUCAAAACACUGCAAAUUAUUUUGCGCUGCUAUAGGGCCAAUAAAACGCCGCUAAAAAUAUGUUUUGCUAGUAUAAAUUACUUAAUCAUUUAUGUUGUGGCUGACACAUAGCACAAAGUGUUACAUUAGUACCAUAAUGUCAUAUAUAUAUAUAUAUUAGAAGUUUUUCUUUAUAUAUUUAAUCUUUGGACUUCUUAAAAAUAUUCUUUUUCAAAACUUAAUAUUUUUAUUUAUUAAAAUAUAUUUUUAAAAAUUUGAAAGUAUAUUUUUAUAUAUUCUAAAGUAUAUUUGUUAGAAUUUAUAUGAAUAUUGAAUAUAUGAUUUUUUAGAAUUUUUAUAUAAUUUUUUAAAAAUAUUUCAUUUUUACCAAAAGUUCUUUUUAUUGAAUUAUUUUUGUUUUAUACGUAUUAUAUAUAUAUAUAUAUAUUCUAUAACAAUACUUUGAAACAUGGAACAUUGACAUAAUAAAUUCUUUUCAAAAAUUCUAAAAUUUCGAUAUUUUGAUAAAUAUGGUAAUUAAUUCAAGUUUAUUUUAAAUAUUAAAAUUUUAUAUUAUUAAUUUAUAUAAAUAAUUUAAAAAAUUCAACAUGUGUAUUAAUUUGUUUUUAAAUUUUCUAAUCAUAGUAUUUCUUUCUUUUUUGAUAAAUAAUCAUAGUAUUACUUAAACCUUACAAAUUUUGUAACAAUUUUGUAACAAAUAAAUAUAAAAUAUUAAGGUUGAUACAUAGCAACGCAAGAGAUAAUAAAACUAGUAAAUUAUAUUAGGAUGAUAUUAAAUCUAUAAUUUUUAAGCACCAAUACAUCCUCAAUUUUUAAAUACAUUCAAAGGAUAUUAUACACUCAAUCAUAUAUAAUAACUUUUCUAAUUUAAUUAAAUUAUUUAUAUAAUUAUUUUUUAAAAAAGAAAAUAAUAAACAAACAGUAUAUUAAAUUACCUUUUCAAAGGUUUUCUUUCUUUUAUAAUUUAAAUAAUAUUUAGCUAUUCUUUUCAAAUUCUAUUAGUCUUUUAUUUAUUUCAUAAGGUUUUUUACUUUUGGGAAAUUGAUGAAAAUGCAUAAGCAAUUUAAAAAAAAAAACUAAAGCGAACAAAUAACAAAAUAAGCAAAAUUGAAAUAAAAAAGACUAAGCAAAAAAAUUGAAAAUUGAAACCAUAUCAUUGAUUGCUUUAUCAAACUUUGGUUUUGGCUUAAUAUAAUAUUUGGUACUUGAAUUUGACAUUUUUUCUUAAUUUAGUAUCUAAACUUUUUUUUUGCUCAAUUCAAUACCUAAACUUGACACUUUUUCUUAAUUUGAUACUUAAACUUUUUUUGAGCCCAAUUUGGUACCUGAACUUGACAUUUUUUCCUAAUUUGGUACUUGAGCUUUUUUUUAGGUUCAAUUUGGUACCUAAAUUUAUUAAAUGUUAUACAAAUUACGUAAAACACUAACGAUGUUUUUUUUUGUUAUGCUACAAAAAUAUUGUCAGUAUUAGAGGAAAUUCAUGUUAAAAAAUAGGAAUUGAAUUAUGUUUAACGAAUUAAUAUUAAAUAAGAAUUUUUUAAAACCUCAAAUUAAAAGAAAUUCAUUAUUUUCAAUUCAUAAAAUAUUUAAUUAAAUAAAUAAAAAUUAAAGUAAUUGAACAUAUAAAAUACAAAAAAAUAUCAUAUCAUCUGUCUCAUGUCAGUGAUACAUUGAUUACUUUUGCUACUUUAUAAAGAAAUAACGUUGUUAGUAUAUUGGAGUAAUUUGUAUAAUGUUUCACAAGUACCAAAUCGAAAAAGAAAAGAUUAGGUAUCAAAUUAGAAAAAAGAGUCAAGUUGAAAUACCAAGUUGGACCCUCAAAAAGUUUAAGUACCAACUUAAGAAAUAGUGUCAAGUUUAGGUACCAAAUUAAGAAAACAGAUCAGAUUCAAGUACCAAAUGUUAUAUUAAACCUUAAAAAAUAUAAAAAAGUAUAAAAUAAACAAAUGGCUAUUAAAAUUUAAAAAGAAUAGCUAAAAAUGAUUUAAAUUAUAAAAGAAAGAAAACCUUUGAAAACGUAAUUUAAUAAACCUGUAUAUUUUCUGUCAAGAUUUUAAUUAUAUAAGUAAAUUAAUUAAAUUAGAGAAAUUAUUUAAAAAAUAUAAUUUUUAAAAUGAUAUUAAAUAAAUUAUUUUUUAAAAUAGAACUAAUGACGUGAUCUGGGUAAGAUCUUUAACAGAUAUGAUUAUUAAUACACGAUUUUUUGAAGUCAAAUUAAGUAUUCACUAUUAGUCAUAACGAAAAAAUAAAUAAAUUAUCAAACCAAUAAAUAAAUCAACUGACUUCUAUCGUCUCGUCUAGUCUCAUCCCCGUCUCAGUCACAUCUUUUCUUUAUCGUUCUCUAUCCGCUUCCGUCUGCUCUGAAACUGCGUCGUUUCUGAAGCUCCAAUAGUGCCAGUGCUUUUCUUCUUUCAUUUUCUUUAGCCUUAUGAUCCAAAGGUCAGUUCAAUUCUGAGUUAUGUUUUUCUUUUUGAUUCCACUAUUGUUAUUUUUUUCACUGUAUUGUGCAUUUUGCAGUGUAUAAAUUUUAUGUGAAGCAACAAUAAAUUAGCGUUGUUUUCAAAAACAUUUUUCAUCGUAGAUUUCUUUUUCAUAUAUUUGGAGAUGAAGGGAAUAGAAAUAUUUGUGUUCCGUAUAAUUGAUUUUAUUAUAUAAAUAUUUCUUCUUUUUUUUUUCAGGGUCUUUAGCUUUGUAGGUCAGACUAUAAAAAACUCGGAGGAAGAUCGAGCAAAUUUCGACUACUCUUUUUAUUUCUUUGGGUCGAAGAAGAUUUGUUUUUAUUUUUAUUUUUGUAAAGGUAUGAACCGUUAAUUUGCUGUCCAGAAAAAAGAAAAAUUUAAAGAACAAAAAAGUCAAGCUGGAGUCUUUAUUUCUUUUUACCAAAUUUUCUUGGCCUCCGAAAGGAAAUUUGUUCAUGUAAUAUAUGGCAUCAUCGCUAAUGUACCAUAUUAUUUUCUCUUUCUUCUAUAUGCCCUUAAAAAAAAACUCUUACUUUAAGCAUAUUGGAAAUGGGCAGUUAAGGAUUUUAUUAUUCCCCCAUUAUUAUUAUUUGAUUUUAAUCAUAAGAGAAAACACUAAAAAGUUAUAUUUCCUGAUUUAUCCAAUUCUUAUCAUAGCUAUUAAAGUUUUUGUGUGAUAUAUUACCAUGGGUUUUGCCUUCAUGUCUUUUAGAUAUCCUUGUUGAUUGUUUAGAUUCCUAGACUACGGGUAAGGUAAGGUAAGGUAAGGGUAGUUAGACUUUAACAAGAACAUAGUUGAUACUUUAUCAGAAUGUUUCUAUUGGGUUUUCUGCUUUAUUUGUUAAUUUAUGUUAAACAAUUCCUUCCACGACUAGGAUUUGGAAUUGGAUGAAUUUAGUACAUAUUCAUCUUCCGCGUUCAUGUUAUAUUACUGCAUUUGGUCUUGCAUACCUCUUUUGCGAUUAAUACAUGUUUUGGACUUUUGAUUGCUCUAUUCUCAUUUCUUCGUUUUAUUUGCAACUUUACCGCAGAUAUUCUGGGAAGUUUUAUUUGAUGGCUUCACCAGCUAUUGACUCUGCAUGGCUAUCCUCACCUAGUGAGCCCUUUUGUAAAUCUUUGAAUGUAGGGGAAGCACAUCCAGCCGAUAUUUUACCUGUGCUGGAAGCUCCUGUGCCUUUUGCAUCUGAUAACUCUAAUGCUCCACAACCGCCACCUCUCCCUAGUAAAAAUUGUACAAGAACUAAGUUUUCCAAGAGGCCUCUUGAUGAUAUUGUUGUCCCAAAGGAAACAAAGGAUGCAUGGGACAACCUGUUUAAGGAAGGGUAUGGUGCAGAUGUUUGUAUUCUCACCAAUGAAAAAUCAUGUGUUCUAGCUCAUUCUAAUGUUUUGGUGAGUUAAUUAUACAUAUAUAUAUAUCCUUGCUAUCUCUUAAUUAAAACAAUAAAGGUGGCUUGAUUAAUAUCAUAAUGUUAAGGAAGUUUUCUUCUUCUAGUUAUUAAGAGGAUUUGAAUUGUUGUUGCUUGCUUUUAAAUUUGAGUAGAAAUUCAGCGAAUGGUCUUGCACUGCUAUUCUUCAAAAACGGAAAUUUUAAGUAAUGUUCAAGCUUGAAUUUGUGUCCUUAUAAAUGGCAGAAUACUUAUUUUACCAUAUAGCUGUGGAAAGAUAGAAGCUAUAAGACUGUAAUAUCAUCAAUUCUUCAUACUUUGAUUUCUGAGCUAAAUUUUCUUUCUUCUCCUUUGUAGAGUAUUGCAUCACCUGUGCUGGCUAAUGUUCUCAGGCUAUCAAAAGUCAAGAAUGGCAUGAGAUACAUCAAAAUCCCUGGAGUACCUCAUGGAGCUGUCUGCAUGUUUAUUCGUUUUCUAUAUUCAUCUUGGUAUGUUUGAAAUAUUUUUCUGCAUACUUUUGGCAUAAAAUAUUUAGCGGUAGUUUGUGUAUAUGGUUUUAAAUCAUUAUAUGAUGAUAGUUUCCUGUCUGUUUCUACUAUAUUUUAAGUGGCAACCAAAACCAGAAAAUAUGUUAAUUUAUGUAUCAUUUGACAGAUAUGGCAUGAUACUAAGUACCAAAUUUGUAGUCUCUUAAAGUUGCUCUGUUUAUUUCCUUUCUUUUCUUUUCUUUUUAUCACUGCCUUAAAACGCCUAAGAACAUAUAUAAAGUUAGGAUGCUGGGAACUAAGCUGUUCCACUGUGGCUGUGCAAAGAGUUGCACCACCACCAAGUUCAUGCAUAGUUAUUUAUGUCGAGAUAAUUUGUUUCGUGGUCUUUUAAAGGUGUCUGUACUGUCUGUGAUUGUAAUUUCUGAAUAAUGCAUGAUCAAUAUGAAAGUACGGUUCUUAGAAUCUUCAUGCAGGAGAACGGUACUAGUUAAGUUCAAACUGGACAUUUCUAGAAAACCAUUUCUAUCUGUAAAAGGAAAAGGGAAAUCAACUUGUUUUUCCAUUUGCGAGGACUUCCUUUUUCCCCUGUAGACCUGUAUGUUAUGUACUAGUUGUGGAAACUUAUAGGCACUGCUAAAUUGGCAUAGGUUCUUUAUGUCUGUCCCUAGUUAUCUCUGUUAUAAUUGGAUUCACUUGGUUUUAUUCUAUACUGAAAUACAGCUAUGAAGAGGAGGAGCUGCAGAAGUUUGUUCUCCAUCUAUUAGUCUUGUCACAUUUCUACUCAAUUCCAUCACUGAAAAGAGUUUGUAUUUGCUCACUGGAGCAAGGCUGGCUUACCAGAGAAAAUGUGAUAGAUGUUCUUCAGUUAGCAAGGAAUUGUGAUGCACCUAGGCUUGCCUUCAUUUGUGUCCGUAUGGUUGUAAAGAAUUUCCAAUCUAUAUCUUUAACUGAAGGAUGGAGAGCAAUGAGACGUGCCAAUCCUGCUCUUGAGCAAGAACUUGUAGAGUCUGUUGUUGAAGCAGAUACUGUAAGUGUUAACCUUCUUUAUGUUUGGAGGAGUUUAUAUUUGUUUAUUGAUCUUCCUAAAGAAUAUAAUACACCUUUUAUUGUAUUUGUUAAUCAAUUUGUUUUCCUUUUCUCUCUCAGGUAGGUUAGAUUUUUGUUAUUAUUAUUUUCUUUUGAGGGGAUUCAACAUAGUAUACUCUUUUGUUUAAAAUAUCUCUUCCUCUGUCCAAAAGAUUCUUCAUUUUACGCUUUUUGUUUCUGUUACUUUUUUGGCUCAAUGUGUUUCCUCUUACUAUUUCUCAGUUUUACUAGAAAGCUUCUUUUGAAAGAAUAAAGUGUUUAACCUUCGGUGAGCUGACUAUUUGCAGUGCCUGUUGGUGUAGGUUAUUACAGUUUGGAACAUGAUUCUAUCUCAUGGAAGAUUUUGUUUAUUAGCCCUUAGGAGAAUCACUUUGUCAUUAUUUGUUAUGCAGCCUAUGUAUACCCUUUCUUCCCUUCCCUCAUAAAUGCUGCUCUAAUUAUGAUGCCUGAAUAUAUUAAUCGGUUUCUUAUUAUUAUGAAUGGAGUUUACUGAUAGUUAACCUUAUAUGGUUAUAUGUUAUACAAUUAUUCUGUUUUUACAUCAUUGGUUUUACUUAUUCCUUUCUUUCCCUCAGAGAAAGCAAGAGAGGCAGAGAAAAAUGGAAGAGAAAAAAGUCUACUUGCAAUUGCACGAAGCAAUGAGGCCCUCCUUCACAUUUGCAAGGACGGCUGUAGGACGAUUGGACCUCGUGGUAAGGUGUGUGCUUGUAAUUUUCCAGCUUGUAAAAGGCUUGAAACUUUAGUGCGUCAUUUCUCAAAUUGUAAGACUCGGGUCCCUGGUGGAUGUGAUCACUGCAAACGCAUGUGGCAGCUUCUUGAACUGCAUUCCCGCAUGUGCAAUGAGCCUGAUUCAUGCAAGGUUCCUCUUUGUAGGUAAGCAUUAAAUUUGAACAACAUAUGAUAUCAAUCACUUCAGAGAAACAUUGUAAAGAGGGGACAAGGCUGGCUCGGACUUGUUCUCUUGCAAUGUGAUUGGAUUUGAUGGAAAGAUGUGAUCCAUCAUUGUAGUUGUUGUCAAUGAUGAAAUGUAGUGCAUAACUGACACUGGUGAUUAAUUUGUCUUCUUUUAAUUGUAAUUUGUAUUUCAUAGGCAUUUCAAGGAGAAAAUGCAGCAGCAAAGCAAGAAAGAUGAGACAAAGUGGAAGGUGUUAGUGAGCAAAGUUAUUGCAGCAAAGAAUGCAGUUGGGUCAUUCUCAUCUCGGUCUAAAGGUUUAUUCUGACUAACGUAUCUUUUAAAUGGGAAAAUGGCAUUACCAUGCAUCUCUUUUUAUUGUUAUUGGUUAAUGCUCCCAUAUAUGCUAACUUAUACUUGUUCUACAGUGGGAAAAAUAAAAUGAAACGAUAUUUACUAAUAAUAAAUAGUAGUUUUCUCUUAUCUUUUGUUAUAGAAAGGUUUGAAGAACAGAUGUAGGCAGUGGACAUAAUGAAAAUGACGUCAUCGAUAUUUCUUUCAAUUUGAUAUUUUCCUGCUUCACUUAUUUCUUCUGCUGUUAACUCGCUUAGAAUAUUCCUAAGCUCAUUGAUUAAUAAAAUAUGUAUGCAAAAAAAGAUCUUAAUUCAGGCUGAGAUGACUCUAGACUCGCAGAUUAUUUGCAGCUCAGCCUACUGUUUUUAUUUUAAGCUCAGACUUCCAAAAACAGAAUAGAAGAGAAAGGAUAUCCCUUACGACCAUAUAGAUCCUAAAUGGAUGAGCUUUGUCCUUAGCUGAAUAUGAAGGGAAAUACUCUGCAUUCUUCCCCUGAAUUGAACAAUCUGUUCCUGCCCAUAACAGGCUUGAAUUGAGUGCAUGGGUCAAAUAUUAAAAGUAUUUGUAAAUUAAAAUAUUUAUAUUUAUUUUUAAAAAUUGUUACAAAAUUUACAAUGUUUCAAAAAUGCUAUGAUAAGAUCAUAAAAACAAGAGAGUAUAAAUGUUUAAUUUUUAGAAUUUUUAUGCCAAAUAUUAACCAACUACUAAUAUUUUUAUAUUAAUUUAAUGUUUUUUACUACGGUUUGUCAUCUUUAAAUUUUAUAUAUAAAUAUAUAGAGAGUUGUAAUGUCUAAUGAUUUAUGAAAUAUAUAAUUUAUUAAAAUUUUCUUAAAUUAUUGAAUAUGUUUGAUAUUAUUUUUAUUCAAAUAUCUCUUAAUUUAUUUUUUUAUUUUGAAAUUACCGAAUAUGUGAAAUUAUGUUUGAUAUUAUUGAAUAUGUUUGCAAUUAAUUUAACUUUAAGAAAUAAGGGAAUGAUAUUCAAAUAUUACGGGUUUUUUUUUAAAUAGUUGUAUUCAAAUAAUUUAUUUUUUUUUUCAUUUUUAUGUUAAAACGUUUCAUUUAAUGUGUAACAUUCCUAGAACCCCUUGAGUCGAGAAUAGUGUUAAUAUAAGAUGACAUGUGUUAGAAUUUUUGAAGGAAAUAAAAUAAGAAUUAUUAGAGAAGACAAUUGGAAACUGGAAGAAAUUGAAAUGACUCGUCUAUUGAGAGAAAUAAAAUUGAGGUAUUGAUUAAAUUUUAAAGAAGUGAAAAGUGUGAAAAUUUGAAAGUUAAGAGGUUAAAGUGUAAAUUCAAAAAACUUGAAGGAUCAAAAGUGAAAACACUCAAAAGGUCAUUAUGACUCAAAAUUGAUAAAUAGGGACCAAAUUGAAUAAGUGGAGAAAUAUGAGAGACUAAAUCGUAAUUUUAUAAAAAAUAAAUAGUGACUCAAGGAUGAAAUUAUAAAGAAUUAUGAGGGGCAAAAUAAUUAUUUCUCAAUUAAGAUGGUUAUCAUGUAAUAUCAUAAUAAUUAGUGAAUGUUUGUUGUUUAAACUUUUUUGGUUGAAAUAUUUUAUUAUUUUAUUUUAUUUUGAGAUAUUUUAAUGUUAAUUAAUGGUUAAGAAAAGAGAAAAGGUGAAAGAAAAAUCUUCAUCCUUCCAUCAUUAUCACAUCCACCAUGAAAAAGAUGAGAGAAAAUUUUGAAGUUUAUUCAUUUUAGUCCUUUUAAUCAAAUUCACUAUUUUCACCUAUAAAUUAAAAGAAUUUCCAUAGCCACCAAGAAGAAAAAGAGAUGAGAAGACUCUGGUGAACAUGAAUAUUUUUUUGGAUUCAAGAAAAUGGAAGAUGGAGGGGAGAGAAAGUUAAGAGGAGUGUAAGAAAGCAAGUUCUACAAUAAGGAUUUGAAGGUGUGAUUUUUUAUUAUGUAUUUGAUGUGGUCAUGAAGUAGAAAAAGAGAAGAAAUGGUGAAAGUGUUGGAAACAAGGUGAAGGUAGCGACUAAAGUGAGGAAGGAAGGGAAUUAAAGCAAAAAUAGUGAAUUCCUAACAAAAGAGAGGUAAGUACACCAAAAAUCUUACCUUACCAAAUUAGAAUUAUGUGUGAAUUAUAUUUUAAUUGUUAUAUGAUUUUUCUUAAGAUUUAAUUACAUAUAUGUAUAUGUAUAGGAAAAUGUUAAUAUUUAUUAUGCCAUUCUUGUAGAAAGAAGUGAAUAUAUGAAAUUAACAUCGACAAUGAAGUGAAUAAACUAAGUGAAGUGAAAUUAUAGUAAAAAGGGUUAAAUUGAAAAUUGUACAAAAGUUUAAGUGUGAAAUUAAAUAUUAUGAUAAAGAGCUUAAAUGAAGUGUUAAUUUUUAGUGAAUUAAUUACAAAUUCAUAUUUAAGUGAAUUUCUUGUGAUACUCAAAUUUUAUAUUGAAAAGGACUAAAUUGUAAAAUAUCAAAAAGCGACUAAGUGUGCUAAGAUUUUGAAAUAAUAUAUUCAAGUAUAGUUAUAUUUAGUAGUGAAGUGAAUAUUGAGAGUAGGGCGAUUAAUGAAAAUAUAUACUAGUAGGAACUAAAUCGAAAAGAUUAUAAAGUAAGUGAAGUGAAAGUUAUGCAAAGAAGACUAGAUAACACAAUGAUCCAAAUUUGACAUAUGUAAUAGAGUAUUAACGAAUAAGUUUAAUUAAAUUUUUAUGGCAGUAAGUUUCAAUGUUAAGUGAAAUUAAACCAACAUGUUAAUGAAUAUUGAAUUUUAAGAAAUUAAGGACUAAAUUGCAAAUGUGUAAAAGUGACAUGUGAAAUGUGAAAUGUAAAAAUCCUCUAAAUUUGAAAUAUUAUAAAUCAAUGUAUUAUAUAUUUCAUGUGCCAAAGAAAUAUCACUAUAGUGUUUAUUGAAUUUUUAUAAUAAGGACUAAAUUGAAAAUAAUUCAAAAGUAUGUAAGUUCAAUUGUGAAAUGUAAAAGUGAAGUUGAUUAUGUUAUAUUUUCCCAUAUAGACAAGAUAUGAACUAGGAUGAUAUAGAUGACAUGCCAUUAGGAAACAUUUAGUGUGCUCUUCGUUAUGUUAAUGCACUUCGGUGCCACUCUAUUUUGAUAAAGCACUUUGGUGUUGUUCUGUUUCGAUAUUGCACUCCGAUGCCACUCUAUUAUGUUAUUGCACCACAAUGCAACUUUGUGUUAUUUUUGUAUAUCCUACAUGUUCUGUUAAUUCUACAUUGAGCAUUUGUUAAACAAUAAACGACAAAAUAAAGUAAUGAUCAAUAUGAUAGGUUUACAAUAAGUGAAAGGAAAUGAUAGUGAAUAAACUAUUUUGAAUAAUAUAAUAUAAUAUUAAUGUACAUCAUUUAUACUUAUUUAGGGAAAAGGUAAGAUUAAAUCUUGUUGCACUCACUAAGCUUUCAUAAACUUAACCUGUGUUUUCCAACGUGUAGGUAAAGACUUGAAAUAAAGUUUUAUUAGGGAUUGAGUUCUUCACAUCUCAAGGACUUUGAGAUAAGUAUGAGAUUUUUCAAAACUUUGGUUUAGGUUAAUGGCAUGUACAUAGGUGAGCAAUAGCAUAAGAAAGGGGAUGCUUAGCUAUACUUGUGUUAUAUAUAUAGUAUUUGGAUUGAGUAAAUACAAGGUAUUACAUGGUUUAGAAGUCAUGGUUAAUGUUUGGAUUGAUUAUGAGCAAAUUUGGUAUGGGUUAAAUGUGUUUGAAAGUAGAAAUUUCAGGUCCUCCAUAUCAGGUUUUGAGACAUGCGAAAUGUGUCUCAAGACUUAAAAACUUCGAACCUAAAUAUCUACAAUAAUGAUGCCAUGUCUUCAGACGAAUGGCCCAUUGUCUCAAAACCUACACCCUAUUGUCUCGAGACAGGGUGUAACACCCUAAACCUGAUUCGAUCAUUGGGUUUGAGUUACGGGAUGCCACAUUCAUUGCUGGAACAACUAUAAACAAUUACAACUCAAUUUAACAAUUCAAUCGUGCUAUUAAGGUCAUUAUGCAUUCAUAACAUGUUUCACAAUCAUAUUCAGACUUUAUACGAGCUUACGAAAUCUCUUUUGAUAACCAAAGAUCGAACAAGAACUAAAACGUAAAGUUUCAAAAUUAUUGGAUUGAUGUCGCAACUUCGGGGGUUCCAGGUUGCGAUACAAGUCACUAACUUGUCCUUAUUGCGGCAAUAAGGAGUUGGAUGUCGCGACGUGACUCACUAUUUUCAAAACAUCAUUAAAUACCAAACUAUAACAACCUACACAAUUGACCAUUGUCUAAUACCACCAUUUAAACUGCAUAUUGUCUAAUACCACCAUUUAAACCGCAUACAUGCUUUCAAAAGUCUUAUAUAAUGCCAUUUCAUUAACAUUUCCAUCCAAGGUCACCUAGUUAACAAUUCAACAUGAAACCAAUUCAACAUAUGUUAUAUUGCAAAAUUUCAGCCAUUUAAAUUAUCUAAGUAUAAGUGUUACUUCUGCAAUAAGAAAGGACACUUCAAAGCCAACUGCAAAGAGUGAAAGGAUUGCCUAGCUAGUAAGGGCAAAGGUAUGAAACUCUUUAUGAUUAAAAUUUUCUUAGUGGAGGAUUCAAUAGACCACAGGGUCAUUGAUUCUAGAGCCACUAACCAUAUGUGAGUUUCUCUACAAGAGUUCAAGGAAAUGAAAUAUCUUAAAGAUAAGAGUCUCUCAUUAUGAAAUAGAGAUGGGAUAAGUGUGGUAGCUGAAGUAGUGAGAGAUGUGCAUCUUUAUUUUGAUAAUUUUAAGAAGAUUAAUUUGAAAGAUGUUUUUGAUGUACCUAGUUUCAAAAGAAACUUAAUUUCUAUUGCAUGUUUAUUUAAAGAUGGCUUUACCGUGAUUUUUAAUAAUGGUAUUGCAGAUUCUAGAAAUCAUACUCUUAUCUGUAAUGGAUGGAUGUCAAAUAAUCUCUAUUUUAUUAAACCAAAGAUGUACACACUACUUGAAAUUGAAUUAACGAAUAAAAGACUUAAGACUUCUCACUCACACGAGUUGUACCUUUGACAUUUGGGACUUGGUCAUAUUAACCAAGAAAGAAUCACUAGAAUUGUGAAAGAUGACCCAUUAAGUUCAUUUAAGAAGUUGAUAUUCCACAAUGUGAAUCUUGCUUGGAAGUUAAAAUGACUAAGUGAUCUUUUAAUGCAAAAGGAACGAGGAUUGUGAAACUCUUAGAACUUGUGCAUACUGAUGUAUGUGACCCCGUGAGAGAUGGUUACGAUUAUUAUGUAACAUUUAUAGAUGAUUAUCCAUAUAUGAGUUUGUGUACCUAAUGCACCAUAAUAGUGAAACCUUUGAUAAAUUUGAAGUGUUUCGGGUGGAAGUGGAGAAACAACUAGGUUUACCCAUAGAGGCAUUUUGGUUUGAUUGAGGUGAGGAGUACUUAUUGGAUGAGUUCUCAGAAUACCUUGUACAUAAUUAGAUAUUAUCCCAAAUAACUAUGUCGGAAACUCUACAAUAGAAUGGCGUGAUAAAGAGAAGGAAUCCCAAAUUGAAUAAAAUGAAAGUUGUUGGAAAAUUAUGUCAUGAAUUAGAAGCUUGAGGUCCCUAAUCAUUAUAUACGAAGUCGAAUUUAGAUUCGAUCAAUUAAAUCGAAAGAUAUAGAGUUUUCAAAUAUUUGGGUAUAAAGGGACUAAAGUGAAUAAAAUUUCAUUUCAUAAUUAAUUGAUAUAUUCCUUUGUGCUUCAAGUGAAACUAAUAACGUUUCUGUAAUCGGAUUUAUUAUACGCAACUAAAGACGACACUGGAAUGUCGAGAGAGAAAGGAAAGGCGAAAGCCUUACUCUAGUAGCCAUAAUUCGGUGUAUUUCAUGACUUGAUUUUAAUUCAUAGUUUAACUAAACAUUAAAUUGAGUAAGGUGAUAUUUUGGAGCUUUGUCUUAUUAAAGGUAAGUUGAAUCUAUGAUUGAUAUUUAGUGAAAUUAUGAUUUAAUGAAUUGUUAUAAUUGUAUAUGACACUGAGUUCAUAUUUUCAUAUAAUGAAAUAUUAUGUUAAGUAUAUUGUGUCAUGGAAUUAGUGAAAAGUGGUGAAAUGUAUGAGAUUAAAUGCUAAGUAUGUUUGAGUGCAAGUGACGACAGUAGCACGCUUGGAACAAGAUCAGAAAGUUUCCAAGUUGUGGAUUUGGCUAGGACUUUUGACAAAUCAAAGGAAACUUGGUGUUUUAAUAAACCUAAAACAUGAACAACCAAGAUAGAAACAAAUAUGAGAGACAACAAAUAAACUACAAUAAUUGACUAAGAAAUAAUGGAUCUUGAAGAACAAGGUUUAGUUUUGAACGAGUCAUUUUUGAUCUGUUCUCGUCAAAACAAGGUUUUCAAGGAUAAAACAAUUAAUUAGAAGCAAAAUUGAAGAAUAAGAGAAAAUAAUCGAAAGAAAAACAUAAGGAAAGAUCAAGGAUGGUUUGUUGCAAGAAAAAUUGAAGAUCUAGUGAUUUGGAAGGGUUUUGGAUUGUUCUUGAUGAAUAAUGGAGCUACCGAACCAGAUCUAAACACAAAGAAAUAAAAAAAAUUGGCAAACAAAUGAAAAGAAUGAAAAUGAAUAAGGGAAAACAAAAAAAGAAGAAGGGUGGCUAAGAAGAGAGUCUAAGAUGGGGUAGAACUAGGGUUUCUUGGAUGAAAUAAACCAAUCUUGUAAAUGCCAAAUUCAGAUAUGAAAAGUAUCAACAAACACGGAAUGUUAGAUUGGCUUAAAUUAAGCAAAACAAAUUUGUUUUAUUGAAAUUAGAAUUGACUCAAAGAAUAAAAGAGAGAUCUCUUAAUUUUGAAGAGUUCUUUAUGGAUGAAUAAUAAAGAAUGCCCUUUUCUUGAUAUUCAAGAUCUAAAAAUAACAAAUAAAUAUUAGAGAAUAAACAAGAAGAAAAAUUGAACAAACAAGAAAAAACAAAGAAUGAAAAGAUGGUGAUGGUGUGAAGAUGAUGCCUUAAGAAGCCUUGGAUUUGAUAAACCCACAAUCCGCUUCAAGCAGCUCUAAUCUCCCCUCUAAGAAAGGAUUCUUGGUAAGUUGAAGUUAAAGGUGAUUCUCAUAAUCUUGAAAGAAUGCUAAAAACAACUUCUAAAAACUCAAGAAGAAUUUUUGAAGAAUAAAAACUCAAAGAAUAUUGUUAAAAAGCAAAUGAGAGAUAAAUGACAAGUGGUGACUGGCCACCUAUAUUUAGCCCCUAGAGAUAAACAUGAUGCUUAAAAUUAGGGUAUAGAUAAGCAUGCCAACUAAGCACCAACUAAUUAACAACUAAGCAAGUAACUAACUAACUUAAUGAACAUGUGAAAAAUGUUUCUAAGUAUGGAAUGAAUGGAAAUUCAGACAAGGCAUAUAAUGGGCUACUUGGAUGGAAUUUUUACACAUGAUCCACUUAUUGAAUUAAAAUUUGGACAAAAAAUUAAAAGAAUUACAAAUUGUGCACUUUAACAAUUUGGCUGAAUAUUCAACUAAGUCCUUCAUGAAACUACAAAUUGAGCUUGUAGACGUCCCAAUGGGUCGAUUUUCAAGAACUUGAACUUGAGACCUGUUUGCCUCCAGAAUUUGCUUGUUUAAGCUCGAAAGUGUAAUCCAUUGCGUAUCAGCUUCAAGAUUUAGUUUCUUGGACAAAGAAUUCCAAGAUUUGAUGUAACAUCCUUAACCCGCCUCCAUCGUCGAGUUAGGGUUAUAGAGCAUUACCAUGCAAAUCCGAUCAAUUACUAUCAAAACAUUUCAAUAAUGUCAUUUAACAACAAUCAUUUAAAACUCAUCAAUACCCUAGUGUACAUGUACAUUUUGGCCUUAAAUCGGGCUUUCGAGGCCCUAAAAUCAGAUUAGAAACAAAUCUGGACUAUAUUAAAACAAAUUAGAAAGUUUAGGAACAAGUUGCAAAAUUUUAAAAUAGGGGUCACAUGGUCCUAUGACAUAGCCCAAGCCAAGUAACAAUCGAAUAAAGGGACACACUGCCAUGUCCUAGCCCGUGUCUCAAAUCGUGUAACUCACUGAGUAGGGUCACGUGGCCGUGUCGCAGGCCAUGUGCUAGGCCGUGUAACACACUGACUUGGUAUACCAAAAUUAACAAGUGACACAAGGCCGUGUAGCCAGACCGUGUGUGACACAUGGCCGUUUGACAAACCGUGUCUCAGGCCGUGUGCUCCAUAGUUUGACCCUAAAAACAAGCCAUUUCAAGAUUGAAACAUACCUAACCAAGAAUCUAACUUGUGCAUGCAUUCAAAAGACCUAAACACCUUUCAAACAUUUAUAAACAUACCAUUUCGAACAUCCUAUUUCAUCUAACCAAUAUGCCAUUCAAAGGCACCACAUUUAUGCCAAAUCAUCAUUAACCAAAACAAAUCAAUGUGUACUCAUAUUUCAAACACAAAACAUAGUCACUUUAUCUCCCUAAUGACAUCAAUUAUACCCAUUCACUUUUCAUCACAAACAUACCAAAAGUACUAUAUAUUACAAGUACCUAAAGUGACCAAAGAACAUCAAUUUUCCAAAGCACUAAAAGUCCAUCAAAACAAGAUAUAUACUCCAAAAGCAUGUUCAUACCAAAAUGAUCAUUAACACAUUCAAAAACUACCAUUACAAAAGGUCCUAUACAUGCCAUUCAUAAUCUUGGGCCAAAAUAACUCAAAAACUAUCGAAAUGGUUGAUGGAUAGUGUGAUAGAUCUCCAAUAAGCUUCUAGCCGAUCGAGCUUCCGAUAAUCUACGAAACAAAGGAAAGUAACUACAUAAGCAACUAUUGCUUAGUAAGCUCGUAUAAACUCAAACAUAACUUACCAUUUCUUAAGCACAUAUUAUAAAAUAAGCAUAAUAUCAUUACCAAUUCCAUAAGCUUAGUAAAAUCCUAUACAAGCACCAUCAAACUCACAAGUUAGUAAGUUUAUACAUGAUAUAUAUGAAAUCAACCACAUCAUAAGUAGAUUUCAUGUACACAUCAUUUAUCUCAUUAACCUUUUCAUAGGAUCAUGAACCAUUAUCCAAUUUUAUACAUACCUUGCCAUUAACCUUUGUAUACCCGUUGAACCAUCUAGGAUUACAUUGGAUACUUGGGAAUCCUCACACAUAGUGUGUCUUUCCAUAUAAUCGUAACCUUUACUUUUCAAUAAUGCUAACACGAGUUGUGAAAUGGGCCUGCUCACACGAGCUGUGGGUCAGAAUGUUAGCUACAGGAUGCUGUUCACACGAGCUGUGGAGAAUCCACAACAAAUGUAGGACCUCAGCCAUCGGUAGGACAUUCAAGACCAUCACCCGAAAAUGAAAUCCCUAAUGACAUGUCAUUCGUAUCUUAAGAAUUCUUAAAGUUCAAACGGGACUAUUCAUCCGUCAAUUACUUAAAGCAUCAAUAUAUGUAUAUUCAUGUUCAUUUAUAACUAACAAGAUAUAGCAGAUAAUCAAUUUAACUAUCAUUAAUACAAUUAUAAUCCAUAUGAACUUACCUCGAUAACUAUAGUCGUAGAAGUAAAAUGGGAGACUAAUCCAAAGCUUUCGCCUUUCCUCGGUUUAAAUCCGAUUGUGGUUUAUCUUGAUCUAAAUAGAUAAUUACAUUCAAUUAAGUACUUCAAUUAACUUCAAGCAUUCAAUUCAAUCCAUAAUUCACAUUAUCAUAAAAUUAUGAAUUUACCCCUCCUAUUUUAAGUUUUUCAUAAAUUGGUCCUUAAGCUCUAAACUUGUAAAAAUACCAUUUUUAUCCUCCAUACAUACUAGCCAGAUUUCUUAAGGACCCGUACCAGCCCAAUUAAAUUAUCAUUUCAUAAUAUUAUCAUGAAAUUUUACCAUUUUCAUAAAUAAGUCCCUAAACCCUAAAUUAACCAAAAAUCACUUAACAAAACAAGUUUAUUCAACAAUCAACCUUAAUAUUCUAUCAACCAACUUCAUAAAAACAAUAAUUUCAUUCAUGGAAAGUCCCUAAACCUUUAAAAUUUUUUCAAAUUAACCCCCGAGCUAGCUAGAUCAAGCUAAUACGAGCUCAAAAACAUAAAAAUCACUAAAAACGAGACUUGAAAACCAACCAUGCACAAGACACAAGUGACCAAAUGCUCCAAGCUCCCCUUCUAAUGGUGAUUUUGACAUUAACAAAGUGAAAUGAGAAAGAUGAUAGCUAAUUCUCUCAUGUUUAAGCAUUUAUUUUUUAAAUUAGCAUUUUACCCUUAGGUUAAAAACUUAUAAAAUAAUAAAAUCCUACCCAUAAUUGUACACUAACUUAAAAAUGGCAUAAUUACUAGUUAGAUCCAUUAGUUUACCUUUCCAAAGCCAUUUAACCAUUUUAACUAAUAGAAACCCACUUUUGCAACCUUUACGAUUUAGUCUUUUUUACCUAAUUAACUAUUUAAACUUUAAAAUUUCUUAACGAAACUUUAAUACUACCUUAAUUUAACCAUAAAAAAAUUAAAUUAAUAAUAAAAUAUUAACUCACUUGUUGGAGUUGUGGUCUCGAAACCACUAUUUUUGACACCGCUAAAAAUGGGUUGUUACAACUUUCCCCUUAAAGGAAUUUUCGUCCUCGAAAAUCUUAUUAGAAAAUAGGUUCUAGUAUUGCAUUUUCAUAGCUUCUUCUAGUUCUCAGAUAGCUUCUUCAACCCCAUGACGUUUUCAAAUAACUUUAACCAGAGUUAUAUGUUUAUUCCUUAAUUCUUUAACUUCCCGAGCUAAAAUUCUAAUCGGUUAUUCACUGUAAGACAUAUAUGGUUGGAUUUCAAUAUCAUCAUGCGAAAUCACAUGUGAAGGGUCAGAUCGAUACCUCUGUAACAUCAACAGAUGAAAUAUGUUGUGUCUUUUCUUCAAUUCAGAUGGUAAAGCUAAAUGGUAAGCUAUUGGCCCAAUUCUCUCGAUGAUCUCAUACGACCGAUGAAUAGUAGACUAAGCUUUCCUUUUUGGCCAAAACAGAGAACUUUUCUCCAAGGUGGUACUUUUAAGAACACUCUGUCGCCAACUUGAAAUUCAAUGCCUUUUCUUCUUAAAUUCGCAUAUGAUUUCUAACAAUGAACAGCAGUUUUCAAACAAUCACAAAUUACUUUGACUUUUCUUCACUUUCUCGAAUUAACUCAACACCAAAUAGCUUUUUCUCACCCAAUUCAGUCCAGUAUAAUGGAAUUCUACAUUUUUAACCAUAUAGAGCUUCAUACGACGCCAUUUUAAUACUUGAUUAAUAGCUAUUAUUAUAAACAAACUCAACCAACGGGAGAAAUUUUCCCAGCUACCCUCAAGCUCUAAAAUACAACAACGAAGCAUAUCCUCGAGUACCUGUAUCACUUGCUCAGACUGACCAUCCGUCUGUGGAUGGAAUGCUGUAUUGAAAUGUAGUCGAGUACCUAGAGCUUCCUGUAGUUUACUCUGAAACGGGCCAUUACAUUUGAGAUCUUGAUUCUUCAAAGCUCUAAAAUAGUGAAAUUGGACAAAGAUUCAAUUUCUUGAUUUUCUUGAAAAUAAUAAAGUGAAUCUUGAUUUCUUUUUCCCUCAUAGACGUAUGUAAGGCCUUCGUGACAAAGUUUUGGAUAGUCUCGUUCAAUUUUUCCUUGAUUUACUUCUCCUUUGACCUCAUUAUUGGGCCUUGAGGUAAAGAAAUCCCAUCACAUCCAUGGUCCCCUUUUGGGGCCUUGACUUGCAUCAAGUGAUAUGAGAACUAGUUAAAUGCAAGCAUGUUAAAUGGAUAUGUGAUACACUAGAUGAUUGAGAUUUGAAAGCAUGAUAAUGUAAUGAAAAUGAUAUGAAAAUAUCAUGUAAUUGUUAAUUGAUACAUAAAAUUAUAUAUAUCGAAAUGGUAAAUACCCACUUAAAUGGUUUUAGAUAGAGUCAAGUAUAGUUGACAUCCUAUAUGAUUCGUUUAUUUUGUUGGUGGAGAGCUUAUUGGCACUUUGGUGUGAUUUUUAUUAGAACUUUGAUGUGAUUGUUAUUGUCAUUUCGGUGCGAGUAAUACUAGCACUUUAGUACGAUUAUUAUUGUAAAGUAUUAGGGGGUUAGUGCAUAUUUGCUUGAUCAUCACUUUGGUGCUUAUCAUAGAGUGUUCGAGGUUUAAAUUCGUGUAUCCAUCUUGAGUUCGUGUUUGGUUAAUAGGGGUUAUAAACUGUGUAAUAUGUGGUUGAGUAUGUUAAUUGAUAUUGAAUAUUGAAUAAUUCAUGUUGAUUUGAAUAAUUUCAUAUUAAUGUUAAUGUAUUGAAAGAUAGCAUGUAAAAGAUCACGCAAUUCGAAUUUUAUGAGCCUCAAGGGUCGAUAGUGUAAGGAAAUGAAUUAAUGGAUUCGAAUGGUAAAAAUAAGAUAUGUUUGUUAAUGUGAAAUAUGCAUAAACUAUGUUGGUAUGAAUCCUUAAAGGCAUAUUGAGAUAAUGACACAUCAUAUUUAAUUCAACGAGAAUUUUAUAAGAGAGAAAAGUAAACAAUCAACUUGAGAUAAUGAUAGAUGAUAUAUAUAUACUCAUUUACAUUUAUUUACAUAACUAGUUUAUAUGUUUAUUUGAUAAUUUAUAGGUGAGAUAUGAACAUAAUGUGAAGAUGUCAUGUGUAUCAUUAAAAUGAAAAUUGAGAUAGAAAUGGAAUGAGAAAUUAUAUCUACUUGCGAUAUUAACUAAGAUAAGGUAAAAUCUUGAAUGAUAUUGAUGUGAUGAUUUAAAAGAUCUAAACUAAGUAUAAAGUCUAUAUGAAAGCAUCAAUUAAUGACUUGAGACGAAGAAAUUUAUCAUACAUAUGUGUAUAUAUGAAUUCAUAAUAUUUUUAUAUUCUUAAUUUGAUUAUAUAUUACUUUCAAAUUAUGUUAGCACCACUGAGCUCUUUUGCUUAGCGUGUGGAUUUGUUUGUUUCUAUAUGCAGUUGACAUUUAGGUCUCGAGGAUUCGAGAAGGUCCACAACAUCUAGGAGACAAUUUUCAGCACAUCAUAAAUUCAUUUUAGAGUCACUUUUGAUGUUUUGGUGCUUACUAUGCUAAAGACUUGUUGUGACUUUGGUUAUAUAUGUAAAAAUAUGAGCAAAUAUGUUAUCCUAUGUGCAUGUUAUUAUACAUAAUCUUGAUGCAAUGUUAUGACAUAACUUAAGUGUUGCUUGCACGCUAAGGUAAAUUUGAUGUUUUAGGUUGGUAAUGUUGAGAGCAUGAUACUAAUCAUAUAUCCGAAUGAGUUUAUUUAAACAUGCAUGAGGUUUAGAGCUUGUAAUUGAUGUCCCAUAAUGUUUAGAAAUGAAUUGGUAUUAUUUGGGUCAAACUAGGUGAUUUUUUUAUUCGUUUUUUAGUCCUAGCAUACUUGUUUCGGUACAAGGGGCUAGAUGUAUCAGUACAAGUCAGCAGCCAAAACUGAAUAGCACUAAUGAGAUGUGUCGAUACAAGUAUCUACUUGUACUGAUACAAUUGGGUCAGAUAGAGAUACUUACCCUGUUUUGAGUUGUUUUUAUCCCUAGAGACCUGAACUUGGUCCCGAUCACCCCUGAACACCUAAAACUUGUUCUAAAAUGUUUCUAAAAUGUUCCAAAUGACUUGAAAAUCAUUUUAAUCACUUUGAGUGUAUUGAUGUGAGUUAUGAAUGCUUGAAGUUUUAAUUGAAAUUCAAUUGAAAUUUAGUUUGAGUUGCUCCUGUAAUGGAUGUGGUAUCUCAUAUUUGGACUUGACGACUAGGUCAGAUGUAACACCCCUUACCUGUAUUUGACACCAGAAUAGGGUACGAGGCAUUACCAGAACACAAACGCUUGUAAACAUAUUUAACCGUAUUAUAAAAUUUCAUCUAAAUUAAAAAUUUAAAAUUUUUUAACAUGCUUUUAUAAUUCUUCACAAUAUAUCCUCAAAAUAUUAUAUUCAUAAUAAAUAGGGCUUACGAGACCCGAUACAUACCCAUGCAAUUCAAUGCUUCAUUUCCAUUUCAUUCAAUUCACAAUUUCUCAUGCUCACAAUUCAAAUCAUAUCACUAGCAAUUUCCAUUUAAUUCACGUACAAUUCAAUAUUAGUAAGUUCAAUACUAAAACGUAUUUACCAUUUAACUUAAAAUUUUUUGAUUAGACCAUUCAUUAACACAUUUAUGAAAUUCUCAAUUUUGCAAUGAAAAUAUCACUUUAUCUUAAAUAACAACAUCAAUUCAACUCAUCAUCCUCUUUUUCGUCAUGUUUCACUUCAAAUAUGAACUUACUAUUUCAUUACCUUUCCACACCCAUUUCCUAUGCAUAUCACACAAGACAUAAACAUAUUGUUCAACCAUAGUCGCAAGCUAGUGCAUUUAAGCAUAAUUCUUUUUGGAACUAACCACAUGAUAAACCAUUUCACUAGAGAUUACAUAAUUUAAACCUUACCACCCCUGUCAUGAUCACAAGCAUAUUUCCAUUUAGGCACUUACCAUUUCAAUGCAUAACUUAUAAGUUUAACGUGGCAUAAUCCAGCCACAACUUGGUCAAAGCCUAAACAUGUACAUCAAAUAUGUUAACCAAAUAAACAUAUAGCAUAAGCAUUAUGAGCAUGGAUGGGCACAACAUUUAUUAAUGUAUCAAACUUACCAACAUGUGUUAAUUCAUAAACCAUUCAUGACAUUACUUCAAGCUAAAUCAUAUUCCAAAUAUACCAUACACACAUACUAUGAAACUUUAUUUUCCCACAUGAGCUUAAAUCAUGACCAAUAAUGCGCAAAUAUAAGCAUCACUUCUAUUUCAUCGUUUAUCAAUUAUAAUCGAGCAUAUUACCAAUUAUACACAAAUCAUUCAUAUAUUUCCUAAUUUUCCUCCUCCUCCCCAUUCCACAUCCUUAAUGUGUAUAACACACUUAAACAACAUUAUACAUACUUUCACUAUUUUCCCAUAUGUAAAUUCAAGCUGAUUGUCUGAUUCAGAGUCAAUGAUUUAUUUAUAUCUCAAGCUACAGAGCUCCAAAUUAAUAUUCGUUAAUUUUUCCUGAAACUAGACUCAUAUAUAUAAUUACCAUAAAAUUUUCAGAAUUUUUGGCUUAGCCAAUAAGUACAAUUUAUUCUUUAAAAUUUCCCAUGUUUCACUGCUUGAUAGUUCUGACCUUUCUUCACUAAAAAUUAAUUAUUUCAUAGUACAGAAUUUAGAUAAUGUUCUCAUUUGUUUCUUUUGAAAAUAGACUCAUUCAAUAUUUUAAACAUAUAAAUUUUAUCCCAUAAUUAUUUUUUUACAAUUUUUAAUGAUUUUCCAAAGUCAGAAUAGGGGAUUCUGAAAUCAUUCUAGCUCUGUCUCACUAAAAUUCAAAUAUCUCAUAAUAUAAAACUCGUUUGCUUGCUCUGUCUCUUUUAUGUGAAAAUAGACUAAUUCAGAUUUAAUUUCCUAUCUUAUUCACUCUCUAAUUCGAUUUCCACCAUUUUUGGUGAUUUUUAAAAAUCACACAACUGCUGCUGUCCAAAACUAUUUUGUUGCUAAAUUUACUCUUUCAUAAUUUCACUUACUCCAUUGCAUCUUAUCGAUGGUUUGAUCAAAUAUUGAGCACAUUGUUCAUAAAUUUUCACACUUAUACCUGCACUCAUUCAUCACAUAGUCAUAUUCAAUUACACUUAGUUGUUACAUGAUCUAAUGUAUUUUCACUUAGUCAAUUUCUCGAUGAACACUUCAGAAUAAUAACAGAUACACGGUGGAUCAGCACAUAGCACCACCCUUAUAGUCAAUGAUACUCGGUGAAAUUAGCACAUAGUAACCACCUUCAUAAUCAAUAGUACCCAGUGGAAUCAACACACAGCAACCACCUUUAUAAUCAAUGAUACCCAGUGGAAUCAGCACACAUCAACCACCUUUAUAAUCAAUGGUACCCGGUACACGUAGUAGCCUGCACAUAGUACUACACAUGUGACCAUUACUAUCUCUUUCACAUAGUGGCCUGCACAUAGCCCGUGCCACACAUGUGAUCAUUAUUGUCACUUCAUUCGUAUCUUUUCUAUUCCGGAGGUUCAACCGGGAAAUUUCUCACUUUUCUUUUUCACUGAUCAAAGUCAAUUUCUCGUCUUUCUUGAUUUAUAAUAACACAUUUAACUUACUUAACACUCACAUUAUUCAAUUUAGUCCAAAAAUCACAAUUUUGAAAAAUUACAUUUUUGCCCCUAAAGUUUCACAAAAUUACAAUUUUGCCCCUAGGCUCGUAAAAUAAUUUUUAUUCAAUUUCCUUGCAUUUCAGGCCUAGACAAACCAUUUUCAUAACUAUAGUAGUCCACAAUACUCACUUAUUCACACACUUGUGACAUAUUUUAUAACUUCUACAAAUUAAUCCUUUUAGGCGUUUUCAUCGAAAAUCACUUAGUAAAAAACGUUCAUCACACUCCAAACAUUCAUAUUCUUCCAUAAAACAUCAAAAUACAUGCAUAUCAUUCAUGGUUAAAUUUUUAAACACAAACCCUAGUUCACAAUAAUGGUAAAAAUAGGUAAAUCUUGUUACGAGGAUUUCAAAAAUGUAAAAUCAUUAAAAACGGGGCUAGAACGGACUUACAAUCGAGCUUGGAAGCUUGAAAAACCCUAGCCAUGGUUUCUCCAUGCAAUUUUCGGUCUAGGGGUUGAAGAUGGACAAAAAUUGGCUUUUAAUUUUGUUUUUAAUUCAUUUUAAUAACUAAAUGACCAAAAUGCCCUUAUUGAAAAACUUUGGAAACUUGCCUAACCAUGUCCAUUUUGUCCACCAACUUAACCAAUGGUCUAAUUACCAUAUAAGGACCUCCAAUUUAAAAUUUCAUAACAAUUGGACACCUCUAACAUGUAGAUCUCAACUUUUACACUUUUUACCAUUUAGUCCUUUUGACUAAAUUGAGUGCCCAAACGUCGAAAUUUUCGAACGAAAUUUUCACAAAAUUAUUUUGUGAAAUUUUAGACCAUAAAAAUAUAAUAAAAAUAAAUUUUAUUCUCGUCGGAUUUGUGGUCCCGAAACUACUGGUCCGAUUAGGCCCAAAAUCGAGUUGUUACAUCAGAUGUGGGGUGUCACAAAUUUAUUGACACAUGGCAUACCUACUAUGAUAACGCGUGAAAAUUGUGUUAUUUACCUCUAUUAUUUUAAAAAUAAAAUAAAAUAUUAAAAUUAUAUUACAUUAUUUGAAUAAUAUCAAUAAUUUAAAUAUUUAAAUAUUUAAAAUACUUAUAUUACAUAGUUUAUGCAUUGGUUUUAUGAAAUUGAUAAAAUUUUAAAAAUUAAAAAUAAGGAUCAAAAUAUUAUUUUAUAAAACUAUUAAAAUUUUGAAUUAAUAUUAUUUCAAAUAUAUAUUAUUUAUAAAUUUGAAAUAAUUAAUUUAAUUAUUAAUUAAAAUUAUGUAGGUGAAGAUAUCAAUAAAAGAUUUUUAUUUUAAGUAUAAAAUUAAAACCAAAUUUAAAUAAUAAUAAUUGAUUUUUAAUUAAUAAAUUAUGUAGGGGUUAAUUUUAAAUAAUAAUAGUAUUUUAAUUAAUUAAUUAAAUUUUAAAAAUUGUCGUUUAUUGUUUUAAUUUUUAUUAGCGAUGGAAGUAUUGAGGAUUAAAAAAACUAAUGUUUUGAGAUGUUUUUAGAUUUAAUUAUUUAUUUGUUUUCUAUUCCAAUCUAGUUCUAGCUUUGAUUUAAAAUGGUAAACUUUCAUAAAUUAUUUAGGAUAAUUUCCGGUUUUAUCCCAUUAGUACUAUUACCUAAUUAUUUUCAUAUUCUGUUUUAUUUUAUUAUAAUUAAAUUAAAAUUUAAUUUAUAAUUUAAUAUUUUUUUAUUUUAAAAAAUGAUCGUUUUCCUUCUUACAUCAUGAAGCAUCGAAGGUCAAUAAUUAACCUACUUGCUAAUUUUUAAUUCACUUACCUAUUAGCUGAACACUGCUCAGGUCUCAAAAUAUAAUAUUACCAAAUUAAGCCUUUCAUAUGUAUAUAGUGUCAUGACAAAUCAUAUCAUAUAUAUAUAUAUAUAUAUCUUAUAGUUAUUUUAUGUAAAAUUAUAUAAUUUUACAUAAUCAUAUAUUAAUUAAUAUAUAUUGUAUUAUUUUCUAAAUUAAUGGUUACAUAUAAAUUGUUUAUUUUAACCAAUAGCAAUAUUCACUCCUUUAAAUGCAUAAAAUUGCUUUUAACUUUUUUGUUAAUUUAAAAUAAUAAUUUUAAAAUAUUUGUAACUUUUUUGUGAAUGGGUGAAUUCCUUUUUAGAACCAUUCAUAUUUUGUUAAAUUAUUUAAAGGUGCUCACGGAAAAUAUGACCAUAGAUAUUUUUUUUAAUUUUUUUAUUAUAAUUUAGCAAAAAGUUUUUAGGGAAAUUAUUUGGUAUGGAGUUUUUACACUUCAUAAGUUGGGUUAGGAGGUUGACAAUUAUUCUAUAGGAGUAUAGUAAAAUAUUUUAAAAAUAAAUAUUUUAAAAAAAGAAACACAUGCCAAUUUUUCAAUGUUGCUCAAAACAAAAAAAAUAUACUACCAGUAUAUCCAAAAUUUUAUACACGAUAAAUUAAAAAAUAUCUAAAAAGAAUUUAAUCCAAAAUUUUAUAUAUAUUAUAUUUUUUAAAAAAUUAAAUAAUAUACAUGAUAAAUUGUGGAUCGCAAAAAAAUAAAUAAAAAAAAACUAGUAUUUAUUUAAUACAACAAAGUUUUUGAGUAUUUUUGGAAAGCUUCAGUUUUGAAGGACUUCUCCUCUUAACAAGUGUCAGCUUUAACGGUUGACACAUCAUCAAUUUAAAAAUAAUUCAAAAACUUAUAUAUCUGUUAUGAAUAUCUUAUUAACUGGAUGUCCAUAAUGAUCAAGAUAAAGUUUGGGUGUACUUUAAAUUCUAAUAGUUAUUAGAAUCAAAUCUCUACUUCUUUUAUACUUCUUAUGCCUAUAAAUAGAGACUCUGAUGAAGCAUUGUAAAUUAUCCCUUUGAUCAAUAAAGUACAUUCUUUAUUGCUUUCAUAUUUUCUUUGUUCUUUAUUCUCUCCGUCUCUUUAUUUUAUAACACGUUAUCAGCAUGAUGAUUCUCUAUUUUUUUCAAAAUCUUUCGAAGUUAUCCCCCAAAUCCAAUUCCUCUUUCAUCUUAAACUUUCACCCUUACAACUUCAUAGUCAGGAUGUUGAAAGAUUCAAUCUCAUAAUGAAUCAUGGUGAUGACGAUGAUGUUAAAGAUCUUCAAGUAUAUUUUACUAUAUUUUAUUUAUUAUAUCAUAUUUAUUAUAAUUAGAGACUAAUCAUGACAAUAUUAAUAGAUAUAUUUUGAUUUGAAAUCUCACGCAUGUUUGUGAUGGUGAUUAUGAAAUAAAUAAUCUAUUGGGGUGUUUAUAAGUCCGUCCUACUAGAUUUGUUGCAUUCCCCGAAGUGAAUGUAAACAUAAAGAAAAUAAAAGAUAUACUCAUGGACCACUAAAAGUGGGAACAUAGUAAUAAAUAAGAGAACAAUGAGAGUUCUCAAGAUAACUUUUCAAAUGGUAAAGAUAACUUAUGAUAUCAAUGUAAUAUGAAAGAUUAUUGGCCACAUAUGUAGCGUAUGCCCAAAUAUUUUGUUUUUGUAAUUAUUCUUUGAGGAAGGAUAUGAGAAUGUAGUAAUGAAUUCUAUCAUUAUAGAUAGAAAAUAUUUAUCUUAUUUGGUACUAAAACAAAAAAAAUAUUAUUCCAAUAUUUGAUAGUACAAAAUUAGUUGAAAGUUCCAGAAGAGCUAAUAUAUUAAUAUCUAAAAAGCACAAAAUUUGCUAUUCCCUGAAGCGAAUAUUGCAUAUAAUUAUUUAGAAAUUAUAUUUAUUGACUUAGUGGUAUUAUAGACUUCACAUUGAUUUAGACAUUUCUAGAAGUAAGUGUCACAAUAUUGCUUAUAUGUGAGUACAAAAUAAAAAGAAUGACGAUAAAAUUAUCAAUUGUCAAAAUUUCUAUUUACAUUAUUAGUACAAUUAAAAAACAUGAUUAAGUAAACCAAAAGUUUACUAAUACAAAUACAUUUACUACUUGGCGUGACCAAUUAGACCAUCCUGGAUCAUAUAUGAUGCAAAAAUUAAUUAAUAAUUAAUAUGAACAUUCAUUAAAGAACCAGAAGAUUCUUUAAUUUAAAAGAAUUCUCAUAUGUUGCUUAUUCUAUAUGAUUUUGGUAGAUGCGUCUACAAAAUAAUCACAUAUGUGUUAUCAAUUUGCAACUUGUUGUUUGCAAGAUUGCUUGUUUAAAUGAUUAAUUUUAGAUUAUGCAAUUAAAACAAUUCAUCUUGCUAAUGUUGGUGAGUUUACAUCCCAAGUUUUCAAUGAUUAUUGCAUGUCAAUUGGGAUAAAAGUUGAACAUCCUAUAGCUCAUAUUCAUACACAAAAUGAUUUAGCUAAAUUAUUUAUCAAAUGUCUCCAACUAAUAGCUAAAUCAUUACUUAUGAGAACUAAACUUUCUAUUUCAACAUGAGAUUAUGUUGAUUUAUAUGUUGUAUGCAUCAAGCCAAUAAGUUAUAAAUACUCUCAUUACAAUUGGUUUUUGAUCAAGAGAUAAAUAUUUCUCAUCUUUGAAUUUUUGUAAGUACGUAUAUGUUCCAAUUGCUCCACCACGACGCACAAAGAUGAGUGAAUCCUCAAAGAAAGUUGAGAAUAUAUAUUAAUUAUAAGUUUCUUUAUAUUAUUAGAUGUUUUGAAUGUAUUCGAGAUUCAAUUAUGUCAAGAUUUGCGAUUAUAAUUUUGAUUCGAUAUUUUUCCCGACAUUAGAGGGAGAGAAAUAAUAACUUGUAAUGAAUUAGGGGGAGAAUAAUUUGAACCAGAAGUUCAAUAAGGAUAACUCAUUACAAGUUAACUGUUAGAUGUAUUUACAAACUUAAUGAGAAUAACCAAUUGUUAUAUAUUAUCUAAUAUUUUAAUUUGAAUCAAAGUCCCAGUAGGACAAUCAGUUAGAAUAAAUAAUAGAUUGAUAGGUCCAAAGAUGAAAUUCUUCUAGGUGGUCAUAUAAUGGAGGCGGGUCUCUAGAAGAGACCCAAGACAUAACUAAUAAGUAAAACUUCAGAAGAAAUUCAGGUACCUGAAACUAAAUUUUAAAAUAAUGAAAAUAAGAAAUAUCGAUAAUUUAUUUCAAUUCAAUAAAAUGUGGAACCAAAUAAUAAAAGUGAUCAACAAUGAUUUUGCAUGCAAUAUUAUUAUUGAAAUAAUGAAAUAAAAGGAGGAUCUUAAAUAAAUCUAUUGAGAAAUAUAGAUAUGGAAUAAAUUGAUCAAAAUAGAAAGACGCAACUCAAGUACAAUUAAAUUCGUGGAGUUUUUGGACCAGUAGUCCAAAUAUCUAAAGGUAUAAAGCCGGUGCAAUUGAAUUAGUUUUGCAAAAGCGGAAUACGAAGUUUUUCGAUAAGUCCUGACAUUGAUUAUGAAAAGAUAUAAUAUUCUUUUGUGGUGGAUGCAAUAACCUUUAGAUAUAUUAUUAAACUGACAGUUCAUAAAAGAUUUAACUUACGUCUAAUGGUUAUUAUUACAAACUUUUAUGAAUCACUAUAUAGUAAAGUUUAUAUUAAAAUCCUUGAAGGAUUUAGGAUGCUAGAAGCAUAUUGAAAUUCUCGAGAAAUUGUUCAUUUAUAUGAAUUGAAAUAAUUUGAACAUAUGUGGUAAAUUUGACUUAGUGAAUAGUAGUUGAAGGAGGAUUAUAAAGUGAUCCAAAAUACCUAUUCGUGUUUUUAUAAAAGAAUCGUUAUUAAAGUUUGUUAUCUCUUGAAGAAAUCAAAAUAUAUUUCUCCAAAUUUCCCUCACUCAUGACUUUUAAAAGAAUGGUAAUAUAAAUGUUUAUCAAAUACAUUCAAAUAAUCAUUUGAAAAACUAGUAUUCAAGAUUGAAUACAUAGAAUAUGAGAAAAUAUGUGAUGUUUUCAUACGGGGGAGUAAAUACGUGUUGCACUAUUUUUCCCUUAAUUGAGGUUUUGUCCUAUUGAGUUUUUCUGGUAAGGUUUUUAAUGAGGCAACAUAUUAUGCGUAUUAUAGAUUGUGUACUCUUUUUCCUUAAUUAGGUUUUUAUCCCACAAGAUUUUUCUUUAUAAGGUUUUAACGAGGCAUGUUAUCUACUAAUGGACAUCCAAGGGGGAGUGUUAUAAAUAUCUUAUUAAGUGGAUGUCCAUCAUGAUCAAGAUAAAAUUUUGGUGUACUUUAAAUUCUAAUAUUUAUUAGAAUUAGAUUUCUACUUCUUUCAUACUUGUUAUGCUUAUAAAUAGAGACUCUGAUGAAGCAUUGUAAAUUAUCUCUUUGAUCAAUAAAGUACAUUUUUUAUUGCUUUCAUAUCUUCUUUGUUCUUUAUUCUUUCCAGCUCUUUUUAUUUUAUAACAAUAUCAGCUGUUGUUAUUAAUAAAUUCAAAGACGGUACUAAAAUGCAAAAGAUGAAGGAUUCUGGACAAAUUACCGGAUUCACAUUAUGAAUAAACAAUUUGAACCACUCAACGUUAGAAUUUGAAAUAAAUAUUAGAAUCAGGCAAUUGGUUGAGAAAGCGAAAAUCAUGCUGCUGAAAAAUACAUAUCUUUCAACUCUAUUUCUAUUAAAUAAAAUGAUAUUAAAAGCUGGCAAUUGCUUCCAAAGUGCGAAAAUCAUGCUACAACAAAAUACUCAAAUUUGAUUCUUCCAUGUACAACACCUUAGCAUCCUAUAAAUUCCUUUUAUGCAUCUUGAAUCACAGUUAUAUGAUACGUUGUUGAGGCUUAAAAAAAUAAAGUUUAUUCAAAUUAAUGAAACUUUACCGUCAAUAGUAGAUUUGUCUAUGAUUCGGGUCAAAGGAUCGCUUGAAAAGUGUGAGUAUUUAGAUAAAGUUAUAGGUUUGAAAAAAUGAGUUUGAGCAAAAAAUAAGGUUCGUUUAAAAAACGAACCGGGCCUUAGGCUUGGUUUUUUGGCUUAGGCUCGACCCGAAUUUGUAAAAAGAAAAAAAAUUAUUAUUUUCUUCUUGUUUUCUCACUGUUUUGUUGUCAUUUCACUAUUAUGUUACUGUUAUUUUGUUAUUAUUAUUGAAAUAUUGUAUAACUCUUAUUUUAUUGUUAAUUUUGUUACUAUUUUAGAGACAUUUGCUUGUUAAGUUGCACCUAUGUUAUUGUUAUUUAAGUAUAAUUUUUUAAAAAUUUAUUCUCAAUUUGUUGGGAAACAUUUAUUUUAAUGUUUUUAGUCUUUUUUGAUGUAUUAUAUUUAAAAGAUAUAAAAAAUAAUAUAAAAAAAAUUAAUAUGGGUGGGUCGAGCCUCGAUUUUAACAUUUUUAUCUGAGUCGAGUUUGAGCAAAAUUUUAGACCCAUUUUUUGAGCCGAGACAAAAUUGGGCCUAAAAUUGUGUCAACGCUUGACCCAUGGACAAGUCUAAUCAAUUGUAAGUAAGGUCGAAUACAACAAAAAUCUGUAAUAAUUUUAUUGCUUCAACUAAAACAAAUAAAAUAAAUAAAAAUGGGUUUUUUUAAAGAAAAACUUAAAAAUUAAAAUUAAGAUUUGAAGAAAUGCAAAGAAAACAAUAAAUAAAUUUGAAGAAAAUCAAUGAGAUGAAAUUCUAGUAAAAGAAAAUUCUCCGUUUGAUUCAAGGGUUUGAUCAUUGAUGCAAAAAUGAAUGUCAAUGUUCUUUAGUAAAUUCGUUAUAGUGAUCGAUGAUUGCCUAGUAACCUAAUCUCUUUUUUGCUUUUUGAUAAUCUAGACAAUCACCAUUAAUUACUUCCCUUGUUGAAACACCUUAUAACAAUCGCUUAGGAAUUUAAUUUAUCAACAAUAUGAAGAACGAAAAAGGCUCAAUUCAAACCAACACACACACAAUCAGAGUUUAUUUAAGUUAGAUCACAUACCCACACUACACAAAUAAUCAUGCAAUUGUCACAAAUAUUAGAAAUCAAUCAACUAAAUCCCUAAUUAACAAGGCAAUCAUUCCAAGUUAUCAAAUACCGACCACAUAUUUAACAAACCCGAAUAAUUGUAAUUAAGCUAGAAAACGUGCAAAUACCAGAGAACAAAGAAAAGAUUAAUAACCAUUCAAUCUCACAAAUUUGUAGAAUCAAACAAUCGAAUAUUACUUUUGACUACAAAAGAAAGGUUUAGCAAUCCGUGAACAAAAUAAUACACAAAAAUCAAAAUAAAACUAAGAGCGACUAUAUCCUGACUGCCUCUAAUGAUUUCUAUUUAUAGAGAAAAAAUAAUAUAAUGGAGAAAAUAAAACCAUGCCAAAAAAAAAACUUUAAGCUCCUUUUUCUCCAAUUAUUCCCUAAAUACAUAAUAAAUAAUAUAAUUUAGAAUAUGAAUAGCAUAAUUCAAAAGAAGAAAUAUUACAAAUAAUUUAGAAGUUACGCACUUAUCAAAUUCCCCCACACUUGAACCAUGUUUGUUCUAAAACAUGAAACUAAUGCGAAUGAAAAUGCAAAUGUAUAUGUAACCUAAAGAAAUACUUAACUCAAAUCGAUAAUUAAAACAUCAUUAUAUACCAAUGGAACAAGUAAACAUACUUUCAUGAAUCCAAUCGAAAUUCUAUUUACUGAUCAAUAGUAACAAUAAUUCAUGUAAUUAGGAAAAAAAAAAAACAAUAGACCUUUGUAAUCAUGUGUGAUUGCCUUCUCUAAUUAUAUGUAAUGUAUAAGAGAUAUUAGAAAAAAGAGAGAGACUAUUUUCAAACUUCAUCAUGCUUUUGAUAGUCAUUAGGUUUCCAAAAUCUCCAAUUUCAAUCGAGCAUAAAGCAUCGAACUUCUUUUCCUUCUACUUCACUACAAAAAAAUUCUUAAUUAGCAUGAGAUAGAAGCAUAAUAAUUUGAGAAAUAAUACAAUUAAAAUUACUUUUCUUUAUUUUUUUUUUCAAAUUUAGGACAAUUUCCUUUCAACGUGAUCGUAGAUGACAACCCAAGCACCUAUCUUCACACAGUCGUGUGAAUGUUUGCAAGUUUUACAGUUUGGUACACACACAACCACAGUUUGUUACACGAUCUGGUGACAUAGCCGUGUGACCUGUAUUACAUGGUUUGACUUCCUGCACACAGUUGGGCUACACAGUUUUGUGUUUCAGCCCCAUACAGCCUCAUUCCUUCCACAUGGUCGUGUGAUCCUUAUUUGUAAAACUUCAGAAAUAAUAGGUUCAGAUCGUGACUUCAAAAGGGGGCGUCACAAUUUAAAGGCUAAAUAUUUUCCCAACAGUGAAUUUUUUCAGGCAGAGUUAAGAAAUUACCCUUCAUAUACCUGGAGGAGCAUAUUGGCAACGAAGAAACUACUGAGGGAGGGGAUGGCUUGGAGGGUGGGAAGGGGGGACCAUAUAUCAAUCUGGCAAGAUGCUUGGGUUCCUGGAUUGGAGGAAUAUAGAAUUAAAGAAUCAGCUAGGAACCAUAGAAUUGAAAUAGUACCAGACCUAAUUGAUCCUAACCAAAAUCAAUGGAAGGAAGAAACCAUUACCAGUUUAUUCAUAAGUGAGAAGGCUACUGCAAUUUUCAGAAUUCCUUUUACAAACAAGAUGACUCUAGAAUUUAGAGUGGUGAACCAUCAAGAGAAUAUACUGUAAGAAGCGGGUAAAUAUGGUUGACAAAAAAGGAACCUAACCUUGAUAAUGAUACAAAUAAUUAUGCAAACAUUGAUAAACUCUUCUAUAAAAAAACUAUGGCAAACAAACUUUCCAGGAAAAAUAAAUAUUACAAACUGGCGAGUGUACAAUGGAUACAUUCCAAUUAUGGGCAGUCUACACUAUAAGAGGAAGUAGAGACAAAAUCGACAGAAGACGCUUUCAGAGAUUGUGCUGCAGUAAAAAACAUAUAGAAAGAAUUAGGGUUUCAAAUUAUACAAAGAGAUGAGGAAGUGAGAUAUCAACAGUGGAUAAGAGAGUUACUUAACAAUACGACAAGAAUAUAGAAUAAGACUAUUUUUUUUUUGCAGCAUCUGGGCAAUGUGGUUGAGGAGAAACAAGAUCCUGCACGAGAAAAAGGUCCAAUCAGUGGAGGAUACAAUUUUCUUUAUUUGUAAAUAUUUGAGGGAAUGGGAAGAGGUAAAUCACAGAUUACCAGGUCAAAGGGUGGUAGAAGAGCGGUGGAGGCCACCUAAACCAGACGAAAUCAAAAUGAACUUUGAUGGGGCCUUUGAUAAACAAACAUUUAAAUUUGGAAUAAGCAUUGUUUGUAGGGACCCAGAAGGAAAAAUACUUAACUGUAGAUCGAAAGUCAAUAAUUGAAUCCCUACGACAUUUGCAGUAGAGGCUUUGGCUUGCCUACAAGCAGUAAGAAUGGGUUUGGAUCUGGGUUACCGAAGGGUUGUGGUGGAAGGAGACGCCCUCAGCAUCAUUAAAAACUUACAGAGAAAGGAAAAUGAUAAAUCAGUGUUGACUCUAUACAUUAUAAAUAUCAAAACUUUUAGCAACAAAUUCAACAAAUGCAAAUUUAGACAGAUAGGAAGAAAAGGGAACGAAACGGCGCAUGCAGUAGCGAAGGAAGCUCUAAAGCUUAACGGAAGUACCUACAUAGAAGGACGACUGCCUAAAAUGGUGUUAGCGGUAGCGACAAAAGAUGCUAGAGAUCUGGAACUGUCAUAGGGAAGAAGGGAGAGAUGAUAAUCUUGCAAACUUGAGGAGUAGAUGCAUUAAAAAGAUAACAGGCGGUGUUACACCCCAAAAUAAGGCUAGGAGGUUUAGGGAUAUUUUAGAAAUUUGAAAAAGUGUUUUAGAAACCAUUAAUUUUAGAAAAAGAACUGAUUUGUAACAUAGUCAAAAUUGAGAGUGUUUAUGUUGCAGUUAGACUAAAUUUUAAAAUUGAACCUAAUAUCUUCCCCGUCAACCGUUUUCAUGUUAGUUUUCUCCAUUGCAUUGUUUGUGUCGUCCCUUGUUUGAAAAAGCUUCUCCCAAUCGAUUUUUAAUCCCAAAGUCCAUACUCUUGAAUUCUUUCACUUUCCCAACAUUAAGCCUCCAUAAUAUUUCAAGAAAACACCCAAAAAUCUCAUUGAAAUCAUCUUCCUCACGUGUGAGUUUUUCAAGUUUUUUACAAAAGUUCAUUUUUCUUCCAUCAAAGGUAACCAAUCGUCUAUCCAUUAGUUUUUAAUGUUAUUAGGCCUUUGAAACUAAAUUUUUAACUGCUAAAUCACAUGUUUUGAUUAAAAGCUGAAAAUAGGAUCGUUAAUGGUGAAUUUUAGAUUUUUGAGUAAAAAUGUGAUUUCAAAGUGUUAAUCAAUAGGUUUUGACAUAAUUAAGAGGUUCCUAAACAUUUUUUUGAAGUUUCAUUAAAUAUUUCUUAAGUUUUAAUAAAUUUUUGUGAAAAUAGUCAAAACUUGUCGAAAAAUGUCGAUACCGUGAAUUGUGUAGUUUUGUAUAGUUUAAAGGUUAGGAAUUAGUCGUAGGCGAAUUAUAAGAUGAACAGAAUUGGUUUUAGGCAAAAAUAUUGAUUAUAGACCGAGAUAUUCAAAUUUAAAGCUUUCUAUGUAAAAGGUUUCAGUUACAUAGGGAUAUAGCUUAGGCUUAUGUUUUUGGUUGCUUGUGGUGAGUCAUUAGCUAAUUUCUAAAUGUGUUCUUGUUGUGUUGAAGUUCCAGAUUUUUUAGGACCAUCUACGAGCUAGAAAAAGGCUAGUUUGAGUUUUUGGCUUUUCGACGAAAGCGAAUUGGUGAGUGUUUAGAUUAAUUGCUUCUGGACACGAUUCAAUGCGUUGUUAGGGAAUUUAGUUGUAGCCUAAACCCCUACUCUAAAUAUGUGCUUGUUGAAUUGUGAAAAUGUGUAUUAAGAUGAUAUGCCAUUACAUGUGUUAUGUGUUCAUGAUUAUUAUUGUGGAAUUACAUAUCUGGACUUGUCAAAUAAGCUAAGUGUUAGUGAUAAUAUUGUUCUUAUGAUGCAAAUAUGCAGUAACAAUGAUUAAAAAAUCGGUAAGCAAUAUAUGUGUGUUUAAUAACAAAUAUUUUGACCUUGUGACACUUGAGACCAUUUGUAACAGCCUGGUUUAGACCCUAGUCGGAAUAGUAGUUUCGAAACAACAAAUUUGAGGUCGUAAAAUUAUUUUAAUAUUAUUUUUGGUUAUUACAAGAUGUUAUUUGAUAUGUGUGAAAAUUUCAUGAUUUAAUUUUACCGAUUGGUUGUCUAAUUUGAUAAAAAGACUUAAUCGCGUAAAAUGUAAAAGUGGCAUUCUAAUUGUUAAAGUGCUUAAUUGCUUUGAUUAAUUAAAGAUGGGAUCCUUAUGUUGCAAUUUGGCCAUUAAACCAUGGGAUGGACAGAUAUGGGCUUAUGUUAUAUGGUUUUCUAAUUAAAUUACAAAGGUUAAAAUAGUAAAUGGUAUAUUAAUAAGAAAUAAAUAAAACAAAGCCAUAAUAAUGUUCAUCUUUUUCAUUCUCUUCAACCGAAAAUAAUAAUGAAGGAAAGUAUGGAAGCUAGAGAGGAGGCCGGCUGCAUGUAGUGGAAAACCAUGAAAUUGAUUGCUUAGAAGUUAAAAAUUUUGAAGUGGAUGGGUAACUCUUCUAAACUCUCCUUUGCCUAUAUCUUUUCAUUGAUGAAUUUUGGUUAAAUUAUUGAUUUAAGUUUGACUGAAUGUGUGAGGGAAGGAGCAAAAUUUAAAUUGAUAGAAUCGAUGUUGGGAAAUAUUAACAAGCAUUCCUUGAACUUUUAUUCUUUUGUGUUUGCGAAUUGGGGAAAACUGUUAGAUUGCUGUUCGAAUUGUACCCCUAUUAGUAUUGUUAAUUGCUGCUCUGUUAUUACUGUUCGAUCAUGGUUGAUGCUAUUGAAUAUUGCGGUGAUAAGGAUGCUUAGAAAAGGGUGUAUGCAUGCUAUUUUAUGGACUGCUGUUUGGUGUAUUAAUGCAGCAGUAAAUUGUUGUUUAGACGUCAAUAAAUGUGGUCUGAGUGACUUUAAAUUAUGUUAAUAAUGGUUGAAGUUGCCAAUGAAUAUAUAAUGAUGUAUUUAUUAUGUCUGGAACUUGAGAAAAUGAGUGUUUGAUACUGUCAUUAAUGUAGCUGGGAAGAUAAUAAAAGAUCAGAUUAAUGCUGCAUAUUGUAAACUGAAAAAUAUAUAGGAUUUUUCCUAUAUAAUUCAUCAAAUUCAUCACCUUUUUACUUAAAUUUGCUGUUAAAACCAAGUAAUUGUUUAAUAAACUAAUGAAAUAUGCGAAAAUAUGAAAUUAGGACAUAGAAAUUAUUAAAAUGUGAUUUUAUACUUUAUUAUAUAGUUUUCAUGCAUAAAAUAGCUUAUUUUAUAUUAAUUUGAGCAUAUUAUAUUUUUAAGCUAUAAAGUACGCCAUGCAUGAUUAAAUUAAAUAAUAAAAUAUAAAGUUAUAUUUAAUAAUUCACUUUUAAUAUUUCAUUAAUAAAUUAAGUUUUAAUUAAUUAAGUAAACUGAUUAAUUAAAGUGGUUAAAUUAUAUUAUUUGGUCUUCUAAACUAUCUACUAUUUUUGGACAGGUCUGAGAGUUUUCUUCUAAUUGCAAACCCGACCAAAUUGGGGACCAAGUCAACCCAAUUUUCGGCUGCACAUGGAUGUCAUAAACUAUUUUUUGGUUUAAUUAUACAAAGUCCUUGAAGAGUUAAAGAAAUCGGAGAUUUUCCCAAAGAUUUGCUGAUGACCGAGUCUUAGUCUUGAGUUGUUGUGGCACUCAAAUUGACCAAAAAUCAAGGAAAAAGCAGCCACUUUUCCUCAAUUCAUGGCUUGCCACUCUUGGAGGAAGUUUCAAAGGAUGGACACUCCUAUUUUUAGCAAACUAGCUCCCUUGCCUUACCUAUAAAUAAGAGUUCAUUUCUCAUUUUUUCAAUCAUUCCUCAUCCCAUCAUCUCUCACUCAUUCAUCAUUCUCUCAACUCUUUUAGCUAUCUUUCCCCUUCAUUAUCCUUGCAUAAGAAUUUUAGCAAUUAAGCCUCUUAAAGAACCCUUGGUCGGCCACCUUGGAAAGCCAUCAGCAAAGGAGCAACGCAAAGAAGCGAAGGAGCCUCGUUAGUCAGAGUCUUGGGUAACAGCCACUCUGAAUUGGGUUUAAUCUUUUUUUUCUUUAAAUUUAAUUUAAAGAUGUUUGCUAUGUGUUCUUUAUUCUUGUUUACAACAAUGAUAGCUUAAUUUUAUUUAAGCUAGAAUGAUUAUUUUGAUUAAAUAAUUUUUAUUUGAUUUAUGCUUAUAAUGUUUGUGCCUCAAUCGAUCAUGUUUUCAAUUAAAAUCAAGUCUGUAUUUCAUGCAUACGUGAUUGAAAUGCACCUGAAUUAGCUGAGCGAUCCUAACCAGACGACGACUAAUGGACGCAUAAUUGAAAUGUGCAUGCUCAAUUUAGAUCCUAACCCGAUUGAAUUGUAGGUUGCAUAACAACUUUAACCAAAUUCUGUUAUCUGCAUUUAAAUUUGUGUGAUUAAAUUGUUUCAAACCUAACACGUCCCUGUUACCUCACACGAAUGCUAAGAAACCCUUAGUAAAUAAGAAUCAGUAAAAUGUGUAUUUACUAAGUAAAGGAUUUCGAAAGGCCCUAACGUGGUUUCUAAACUCAUGAAAGAUUGAGUUGUCAUGGAAUGUUUUUCCGAAUGUUAUUAAGCAUGUUAAUAAUAAAUUGAGUUUAAUUAAAGUAAUUGUCCUAGUUUAUUUAUGUUAUAAUUGUUGCAAAUGUGUUUAAUUUUACUAAAAUCCAUUUCAUUCAUAUAGUUUGCAUACUAAGGAUAAUUUGCAUUAGGGAUUAUUGCAUUUAGUUUAAUAUAUUUUAAUCAUCACUUCUCAACUAUAUCGUGUUUUUAUUUACCGAAUUGUUAAUAUAAUUUUACAAAUUAAGAGACUUAGCACAAAUACAAUCCCUGUUGAGACGAUAACUCGAUACUUACUUAUUACUUGAUAACGACUGUGUACACUUGCACAAACCCCAGCGUUACACAUAUGUAUGACUGAAUGCCUUUUGAAGUGUUAAAUUAAUGAUAUUUAUUGGUUGCAGCUUAUGUGUAAAAAUCUGAAUGUUAAAGGGGUUAAUGCAACCAUUAUUAAAGUUAUUAAAUGAGAAUAAAAGAAGAGUAAAUGCUACAGAAUUUAUGUCUUAAGUGUUAAUUAAUGAGUUGAUUUAGGGCCAGUUCUUCAUUUCUUAAAAAAACACUUCUGACUCUAAAAACACUUUUGAAAGAAAAGUUGUGAAGAACAAGCUGCUUUUGGCUGAAAUUUUUAGUUUUUCAGAAGUGCUUUUAAAAAGUACUUCUGAAAAGGAGCUGAGAAGGAGAAGCUAAAAAUUUUAGCUUUUCCUCUCCCAAAAGCACUUUUGGUGCUUAAUUACUUUUUCACCCCUCCAAUAGCAUGGUAUUUUUAUUUUUUUUCUUGGUGCUUAAUUACAAUUGUGUUAAAAUUAUUAAUUAAAAAUAAAAAAUAUUUUUUAAAAUACUAAUUACAAAUAUUUAAUGGUUAUAUUUAAAUAUUUAAAAUAUAGUUUAUAUAUUCUAAUUAAAUUUUAUAAAUAAUUAAUAUUUAUUGCUUAAAAAUAUUUAAAAUUUAUAUUUCAUAUAUUAAAAUAUUAACAACAAGUUAUAAUAGUUUUUUUAUAUUCUUACUAAAAUAUAAUAAUAUUAACUAAUUUAAAUAUUAUUUAAAUGUAUAUUUGUUACUUGAUAAUAAUAUGUCUAAAAUUGACAUUUUAUUUCUCAAAAGCAGUUUUUGACAGCAAUGCUAAACACUCAAAUUUUAAACCAAUCUUUUUAAAAGCACUUCUUAAAAGCACUUUUCCACAGCACUUUUCAAAAGCACUUUUCAAAAGCAAUGAAGAACUGACCUUAAGUAGUGAUAAAUAGUCGUAUGUUUAUAUUGUUGGGCAGUUUAUGGACUAUUUAUUACAACAAGAGAAAAAGGUGAUAAUAAUGCUAAUUAAUGUUGCUUAAAAUUGUCAAAGAGUGUAAUUAGUGAUUAAUAAGUGCUGCUUUAAUAAGUUAAUUGUUAAUUAUUAUUUAAGUUUGUUUCGGUGGGUCAAUUGGGCUGCUGGAAUACAGAAUUUGACUGCUGUCUGAAUUGAUAAUAAAUACCUAAUUAUACUGCCAUAUUUUGAUUUUGUGUAUUAAUGUUGUUUAUUAAAGAGUAUCUUAAUGCUAUCUAAAUAUGUAAGUCUUUGAGACUUUCUUUUAGGUUUCAUGAACUAUUAUAAAUUCCUACUGUAUUUAUGUUGUCCAAAUUGGAAUGAAUUGGAUAAUGACUAUGUUUGUGUUGACCAUUUGUGAGGAAUAAAGAUGUUUUUACUAAUUGUAAUUAAAUGAUAGAAUGGUUUGAGUUUGGACUUGAUUUGAUAUUUGAGUUAGUUAACAAAUUGAUUUAUUAUUUUUGAUCAUGAAACAAAUAGAUCGAUUAUAAAUUGGGGAAAAUAGAAGGUCAUGGAAUAAUCAUCUACGAUUUGAGGUAAGUUCGUAUAAUCGAACUUUAAUGUAUAUUUAUGGAAUUGAUGAAAGAUAGUAUGAAUGUUUUCAUAUAAUUGAUUUAAUUGUGGAACAUAAAUUAAAUGUUCGAAAUAAGUAGAAACGCAGGAUCAAACACAAUCAUUUUGUAACGAAAGAUGAAUCGGCGGAAAAGACCAUGGUUGGACCAUGGCAGUACAUGAUUUCGUAUAGGACCAUGUCUGGGAUGUUGGCAUCGAUUUGAGAUUUACGUGUAAGACCAUGUCUAGGGCAUUGGCAUCGUAUAUGAUUUUGUGUAAGACCCUGUCUGGGACAGUGGCAUCGAUAGUUGAUUACAUGUAAGACCACAUCUGAGACGUUGGCAUUGUACGAGCUUUUCGAGCUAACCGAGUAUCCUUAUUAAUUCCGAAUGGUUCAACUGGAAAUAUCGAGAAAUGAAUGAAUAUGUGAAGUAUAUUAGAUUCAAGUACGUACGAAGUGCAUAUGUUAUUCAAAAUUGAAAGGUGAGUCUGUUUAAAAUGACGAUAUGUGAAAUAUAUGACAAUGAAUGAAAUGAAUGUAUACAAAUGAACGUUGUGUACAUAUGCUCGUUAUAUGAAAUCAUGGUCAUAUAUUAGAAACAUGGGAAUUAUGAAACAUGAAACAUGGUGUUGAGGUAUGUUAAUUUGGUUUGAAAGUUGGAUUACAUAAUUGAUAUCAAGAUGGUAGUGUUAUGAUGCAUGGUUAGCAUAUAAGUGAAAUGGCUAGUAAAGCAUGACUUGUUCUGGUUGGUUAUGUAAUUAAUAUGUGCAAAUUUAAUUUAUAUGAAUAAGCUAACGGUUGCUAUUCAAAUUUGAAAGCAUGGUUUAUAUGUUCAUUGAUAAAUAAGAUAAGUGAAGUUACUUAAUGUGGUCAUAAGAAUUUACGAAUAUGAUGAAUGUAUAUGUGGUUGAGAUUUGCUAAAUUCGGCCUAGUUAAACUGAAUUAUAAAUAUCAUUGAGAUGAUUUAUUUUCUUAUGACUUACUAAGCCUUAAAAGCUUACUCUGUGCGCUUUUCCUAUGUUUAUAGAGUUUCAGAGACUUACUCAGGUUGGAAGUCGUAAGAGACCUUAUCACACUAUCCAGUUUUAGCUUCGGUAAGUAAAUGCUUUGAUAUUUGGUUAUGUGGCAUGUAUAAGCUAGUUUUGGUAUGGUUAGUUUUAAAAUGGUAAAUAUAUAUAUAUAUAGCCAUGUGCAAAUGGCUCGAUUACAAUGUUAAUGGUUGUGUGUAUUCGGUCAUGAUUUAUGCUUAUAUUGAAACUACAUCUUAAGGUAUAUAUGUUUUUGGUGUUUGGUUAUAUGAUUCGGUAAUGAUUAAUAAGAAGUAUGAUAUAUAAUCGGCCUUAUAAGUAGCUCAUGUUGGAAGUAUGUUAUGUGGUAUAUCUUGUGUGGUAGAUGAUAACAUGAUUCAGUUGUUCAAUGAGAUAAAGGUUGGAUGCAUUUUUGACUUGGGAUUUAAGUUCCUAUAAGUAAAAAAGAGAGAGAGUAUAUUUUUGAUGAUGCAUUGGUUAUUUGAGUACGAUUAGAAAUGGAAAAUAAUGAAAAUGUUUUAUGAAUGUUUUUGGUUGAUCAUUGGAGAUUAAAUUUGAGGACCGAAUAUAUGGUUAAUGGAUCGGUUGUACUUAUGUACUUUGGAUUAGUUAUAGAGCAUACGAAUUUGGUAUACUAUGAAAUGAUCUUUGUGUCCAUAAAUAUUUAAUGUGGCUAUGGUGAAAUGUGCACAAAUUAGAAAUUAUUUCAAUUGUAUGUGGUUAUAUGGAGAUGCUUACUUAUGUAUAAUAUAUAUGUAUGCCUAUUAUUCCAUGUAGAUUACUUAACCUAGAUUAAUGUGUUGAACUGUGUCUAGUUAGGUAAUGCCUCAUAACCCUAAUCUGACGACGGAUAUGGUUAAGGAUGCUACACCAUUGGAUAUAAUUGACAUGCCAUAGGAUUGUGAGUACUCAUUUAUAUGUAUAUGUGAUUUUGGGCAUUGAGGCCCUGGGACAUUUGGAGGGAUAAAGGAAUGUGACCUAAGCUCCAUUCAAUGGGACAUAUGAGGGGAAAUAAGAAGAGUGUGAGCUAUAUGCUUCGCUUAUGGGACAUGUUUGAUUUUAUGAGUCUAUGAGGUGUGUUGGGAAUCCGUGUAUCCAAUGAGUGGUGGUAGUGCCCACUUUUGCGUUUCAUAGCUCAAGUGCCAAAUUAUCUUAAAUUGUAAAUUAUAAAUAUGUUUGUAUGUAUUGUGAUGUAUGCAUGAAUGUGAAUAUAUUUACUUUGUAAAUAGGCUACUGAAUAUGCAAAAUAUGUAAAAUGUGUCAACUAAGUUAAGGUUGUUAUAAUUAGCUACUUAUAUGCUUCACCAAUGCUUGAUGAACUGCUUGCAUGGUAGUUGUUCUAGGCAUUUAUUGUGUUUGUUAAGCUCACCCACUCCAUUCUUAAACCAUUACAUAUUAGUUGUGUGCCGAUGUGAGCAAUGUGGUUCUCAAGGAGUGAUCCAAGUAAGUCUUUGUGUUACUUCGUAGAUGUUUAUUAUCUAUUUAUUUUUUAUUUGGGAAUAAGGCAAUGUGGUAAACUACAUGUUAGUUUUGCUAUAACUUUUAAGUUGUUUACAUGAUUAUUAUUCCUUAGGAUGUAACACCCCAAAAUUUUAAUUUUCGGUAUUGUGAAUGUGUGACACAAAAUAUAUGUUUGCUUUAGUGGUUAUGUGUUCUGGGUGUGUUUGGGAGGUCCCAAGUCCAAGUUAGGACUUGGGCAAAUUUUGGUAUUUUUAUGAAUAAGCCCUAUAUUUGGUUAGUAGGUUUUUAAGUAAAAGUUGAAAAAUAAUUAACAGAAUGGGCCUACUGGUCUGGUGGAUAAGUGGAGUGUUAGUGUGAAGGAGGUCCUGUGUUCAAAUAUUGGCGUGGGCAUUAAUUUUGCUCGUGCGUCUAGGAGAGUUUGGGAUGGACUAAAAAUCUGAGUAAUGGAUUUAGUGGGGAGUUUGAUGGAGAGAAAUAAAGGGUGGUUAUCAAAUAUUUUGUUAAUUUUUUUCUUUUUUUUACUUUCCUCAAAAUCCCUCUACCCUCUUGCCAUUUUUCUCUUCAUUGCUUCCGAAUUUCCGCUCUCUUUCACCCUUCAUCUUCUUGAUUUUUCUUUUCUCACUUUGCCUCAUGUCGCUUCAUGUUUGUCUGCGAUUGUUCGGUAAGUUUUAGAUAAGUGAUUUGUCUCUGUUUUUUAACUUUCUUCUAAAGUGUUUUGUUUAUACACAUUAGGGGAGGAUUCAAGGGCUCGUAAUCUCCAAUCGUAGUCUCAGUUUGUGUGGGAAUUUAUUGGUUGAAGGUAAGGUUUAGUCACUUAUGGGUUAAAACCUCGAUACGAGUUCGAUUUGGAAUCACGUUAUGUGAGAUUAAAUUCAUGUUAUUUGUUCAAUUGUAGGCUUUGGAGUGCUCGGGGACUGUUUUAGCAUCAAACAAAACCAGGUGUGUACCCGAAACGCAGAAAAUGGGAUUCGGAAAAAAGCCGAAAUUGCUUGCUGUUUGGACAACAACAGUAGGCUAACUUUUAAAAAUCAGCAUAAAUUGUGGAAAUCAAAUUAUAGGAUGAACAAAAUAUAGAAUUAAAGCUUAUUGAGUCUAUUUUCUCAUAGAAGAAACGUUGUAAGUAAUUGAAUUGUAAAUCGUGAGAUAUAAUAAGUUUUUUGAGACAAGGUUAGAAUGAAUUUGGGUUCCCCUGUUCUGACUUUGGAAAAUCAUCAAAAAUUAGAUAAAAAUAAUUAGGAGUUAAAAUUUUCAUGUUUAAAUUAUUAAUGAGUAUAUUUUUAAUAUAAAUAAAUGGUAACAUCAUCCCAAUUUUGUACUAAGAGAUAAUUAAUUUUUAGCAAAGAAAGGUCAAAACUAUUAAAUAGUAGAACAGGGGUAAGAUUGAAGAUUUUACUGUACUUAUUGGUUGAACCAAAAAUUAUGAAAAUUUUAUGGUAGAAAGGUAUUUUAGUCUAGUUUCAAAUACAUUUAGCGAUCUUAAUUUGGAAUUCUUUAGCUCAAGAUAUAAAUAAUUUAGUAACAGUGACUCAAGUAGACAACUUUGAAGGAACAUAUAAGUAAAUAGUGAAAACAUAUAUGAAUAUUUAGCUAGCACGAGUUACAUUAAAAAUGGACUACGCGACCAAAGCUAAUUUGGGUCGAGUGGGCCACACGGGUGUGUGGGCCCACACGAGCAAACCACAUGGGCGUGUGAGCCCAUUUUCACUGAAUUGAUUGCUAAGGUUGCACGGGUCGCCCAAGUCGAUUGUGAACCUAUUGUAGGGUCGAUAAGCAUCACUUAGACCCUUAAUUGUAUGAACUGGUUGUUUGAUUUAUAUAUGUGUUGAGCAUGAUGAUAGUAUGCUUGUAUAAUGAACUGGUUAUAUGUAUUGAUGUCCUGAGAUAGUAUGUUAUGACUUGUAUGUUGCAUUGCAUAGGGUUGGGUUAAUUAUAUUUGGAGGAAGUGUAUUGAGAGGCUCUUAAGCCUAACAUACUGGCAGCUUAGUUGCAAAUUACUGUUUUGUGCCGCAUUCGGUACUACCUGGAUGUAGGGAUAGGUAGGUUGAUUUGAUCCCUACAUGGAGUGUAGGGUUGGACAGAGAUGGUGUGUAGAGGCUGGUUGGGUAGGACUUUGUUACUGAAUACUGCAUGACUGCUACUGAUACUGUGAUGGGCUAAGGCCCAAAUUGUUACUGAUACUGAAAAAGGGCUUAGGCCCAAGACUGCUUUAACUAUGCACUGUGAUUUGCUAUUGUUUGUUUUCUGUGGGAUUACACACUGAGUUUUCGUAAACUCACCACUUUUGUUUAAAUGUGCACAGAUAAUCCCCAGAUCUAGGCGGAUCGGUGCAGCGGAGGACUCAGCGGUGACCACGAUUUUGGACUUUCAUGGUUUUUAACCCAUAUUUAUGAUAAUUGAUUUUAUUUCUAUUUUAUUUUUACUGGCUAAGUUUUUGGGUUGUAAUUGGACUUUUAGACUUUGGUUUUGGGUUUUAAUUAUCUUUACCUUAUGGAUUACAACUGCUAGUAGUAGGAAACCUCAGUUUUCAAAAGAAACAAAUGUUUUUCCUAAACUCACAAUUGUUUAAUCUAUUUUAAAAGCUUCCGCAAAUGAAUAACAUUUUGAAACUAUCGAUUAAAUGAGUAACACAAUUUUGGAACUAAUAAGAUAUUAAGAUAAUGAAUUCAAUGGAAAUGGUUUUAAUGCGACGACACGGUUUUCAAACACCCUAUCAUGUGACAUCGCUAGAUCCCGCCAUAACGUCUUGGCCGAGUUUGAGGUGUUACAUAGGACUUAUAGACUUUAAAUUUGAGUUAUUGGUUUCUUGCUCAGUCAUUAUUAUGAAGUUUUGGACUGUUAUUUCGGACAUUUUGGAGCACAUUUGAUGAAGUGAAUGAUGCAUGAUGAUUAGACAUAAUUUGGUAUGAGUUAAUUAUUUGAAAUUGUUGUAUUUUUAUUGUCUGGAGCAAAGGUAUCGAUAUUCGGGUUUUAAUAUCAACACCUCCAUGAUUUUUGAAAGUGUAGGAAGCCAGUAGCGUAAUUUGGUAUCGAUACCUUAUCAUGAGUAUCGGUACUAAAAUAAUCGAUACUUUUCGAAAAGUACUGAUAAUUUCUGAGACUUUGGCUUUUUGUGCGAGAAACAUAAUGCAAGUUUGGCAUUGAUUUUUCAAGCGGUAUCAGUACCACUUGAGAGAAAUAUUGAUACCACUUUUUAAGUAUCGAUACCUACGUGAUAGUUUUAGGAUUUUUGCUUAUUGGUCCUAAUACAUGAUUAACUAUUAUUAUAAGACUAUUUGAUGUAUGAAUAGCAUGUAACAAUGAUAACUAAGGGGUAAGAUUGACUUAAAACCUAUAAAAAUGUUUAAAUGGAAGAUGUUUUGUUUGAAUGAGCUUUUACUUAUUGUAUAUGACAUGAAACGGUGGUGUGGCAUCCUGAUAUUCGGGCUUAACAAUUAGGCUAGGUAUAAGGUGUUACAGGCAGUGCUUAAUUUUUUUCUUGGAAAUGCUUGAAAAAGGGGAAAUGGCUGGUCAUGGAAAGCUGGGUAGAAAACGAAAGGAGAGGAGGCCGAGCUAGGGUUUUGUUUUAGGAAAAUCUUUGGUUGUUUAUUUUUUUAAGUGGGCUUUUUAGGUGUAGGUUGAUUUAGGAGUUUUUUUUUUGAUUUUUUUAAAGAGUUGUUUGUUUUUAAUAGGAUCUGUAAGUGAUAUUUUGGGCUCAGCCUUUUAAAUGAAUAAAAUCCUAGAUUUAAUAGUAAAAAAAAAUUAUGCAAUGACCGGUUAAGAUAAUUGUGAUGCUCACCCGAAUCAAAUUAGAUACAUAAGCAUAAAAUAGAAUCAAUUAAAGGCUCAGGUAGGAAUACGCUUCAACAUUUUAAUUUUCCCAAAGACCUGGGUGUAAAAACUCUUAUAAGUCCCUAAACAAUUAAAAUCUCAAGAAGUUAACUUUUGUAAUAUUUACGAUUUGGUCCUUGUAUCUGGGUUAGUCACUUAUUCGGUAAAAUUACCUACUCAAAAAUUUAAUUCACUUAUAUAAAAACUCUGUAAAUAUUUAAUAACAAAAUUUACGGUUUCAAUUUACGGGAACGAGGUCCCAAUACCUCAUUUUUCGACACUAUAGACUAUAGGGUCAAUACAUUUGUACCUUAAUUAAUUAUCAAUUAAAUAAAAAUUUAUAAACCAAAAUUUAAUACAAUUCAAAAUAAACUCGUAAAUAUAAAUUAAUAAUAUUUACGGACUCAAUCAUCAGAGAUAAGGUUACAAAACUACUAUUUUCUGACACCACUAAAACCCGGGCUUUUACAGGUGUGCUCUCAAUUUUUAUUUUCUUGAAAUAAAUUAAAAAAAGGAAAAAUGAGAGAAAUAAAACUAGAAAAUAGUUAAGAAAAAUUCUCAAUUUUUUAAAAAUAAAUAAUAUAGAAUUAUUUAAAAUUCUUAGAAAUUAAAAAAAUAUUUAAUUUUAUUUUUUGAAAAUACAUAAAACAAAAAAAAGAGAGAAAAUAAAUAAAUUGUAAAACAAAUUCAGAAUUAUCUCCAAAAAUUUAAUAAAUCAGAAAAGAUAUAUGAAAAUUUAUAUAAAAUUUAUAAAAAUUAAAAAAUAUAAUUUACUUUCUAAAAACACAUAAAUUUAAAAAGUGAGAAAAUACAAAAAUUGUCAAAAAAAAUUCAGAAAACCUCAGUUUUUUUUUAUAAAAUCAGAAAAAAAUGAAAAGCUUUAAAAUAUGAACAACCAAAAUCAGGAAAAGAAAUUGAUUUUUUUUUAAUUUUCGCUCUUUUUUGAAUUUUAUGUUUUUUUAAAUGUUUUUAAAUUUCUGGAAAUUUUAUAUAACUUUGCAUAUAUUUUUUAUUUGUUAGUUUUUUUAGAUUAUUCUGAAUUUUUUGACAAUUUUUUGUAUUUUAUCUUUUUUUUGUGUUUUAUGUAUUUUUUAAAAUAUAAAAAUGAAUAUUUUUAAUUUAUGGAAAUUUUAUAUAAUUCUAUAUUUCUUUUCUAUUUUUAUUUUCUUAAUUUUUUACCUUUUUAAAUUUAUAUUAGGAAAAUAAAAUAUGAGUGAGCUGCAUAUGCAACUUCUUUUAUAACACUGUUAAGAGUUGAGGUAAACUUAUAAUAGGUUGAAAACUUCUAAGUAGCAAAGUGAUACAAAAUGUUUUUAAAUAAUAAAAUAAUAAUUGGGUGGAGCAAAUAGUAUAUUCACAAGUUUAUACAGCAAUACUAUGAAAGUGAGAUAUUCUGAAUUUAAUUUAUUUUAAAAAUAUUAUAUUUAAAUAACUAUUAUUUUAUUUUUAUCGAGACUAUUCUUAUAAAUUUUCUUUUGGCCACCUAAUGAUUAAUUUAUUUGAUAAAAUGUUAAUUUUCUAUUAUCAAAUACCCUUAAAAUACUUAUAAAAUUUAUCAAAUAUUUGGAUCCCAGAUCAAAGUCACGUGUAGGGGCGGGCUGGACGGAACACAUGCAGAUUCUGCAAAAUUUUAAGCAAUAUUUUGGCGUCCUAGAAUAUUAAAAGGACAUUGAUUCCAAAAGGAAAUCAAAUCAGAUCACCCACUGUGAGUGUGAGUGAGGGAAUCAGGUAAGGUUUUCCAGAACAAAAAUCAAAGCCCAAUAACCAAAAAGGGAAAACAAUGGCUUUGAAUUUCAAUCUCAUAGCCUCGAAAUCUCAGAAACUCCCUUGUUUUGCUCUUCCACCAAAGACCACCCUCAGAUCUCCCAAGUUUUCCAUGAUCUCCACCAUUCCUUCUUGCUCCACGUUAGUAUUCUUUCUUUCCUUUUUUGGCUGGCGUUUUAUUCAUUAUUGUAAUAACUUGAUUGUUUUGUCGUUAACUCAUGGAUCUUGACUUUUUUCAUUUCUUUUUCUUUUCCCUUUAAUUAAAGCUGAUUUUUUAUCUGGGUUUUAGUUAUUUUGUCUCACUAACAUGGCUUUCAAGACUUUCUUUUAUGAUGUCUUACGAUAUUAGCGUUCUUGAUAUGUAAUGGCCUCUAAUCAUUGUUAUGAUGAGGUUAGAGGUUUUACAAAUUAUGAUAUUGUUGUCUUUGAAUCCUUGGUGACAUGUAUGGUGUUUAAGUAUGAGAAUGAAAAUAAUCCCCAAAUUGGUUUUUUACUGAACGCAGAGAGGUUGGGAAUCUGAAAAAGCCUUUCACGCCUCCAAGGGAGGUGCCUGCUCAGAUCACCCACUCCAUGCCGCCUUACAAGAUUGAGAUCUUUAAAUCUUUGGAGAGCUGGGCUGAGGACAACAUUCUGACUCACCUCAAACCAGUUGAGAAAUGUUGGCAACCUGCCGACUUUCUUCCAGAUCCUAAUUCUGAUGGAUUUCAUGAGCAGGUGAAAGAGCUUAGGGAAAGGGCAAAGGAGAUCCCAGAUGAUUACUUUGUAGUUUUGGUUGGUGAUAUGAUCACUGAGGAAGCCCUUUCAACUUAUCAAACAAUGCUUAAUACCUUGGAUGGAACUCGUGAUGAGACAGGUGCUAGCCUUACCCCUUGGGCCAUUUGGACCAGGGCUUGGACUGCUGAAGAAAACAGGCAUGGUGAUCUGCUUAAUAAGUAUCUGUAUUUGUCUGGGAGAGUGGACAUGAGGCAAAUUGAGAAGACAAUCCAGUACUUGAUUGGAUCGGGAAUGGUAAGACUAACAUACUUGCCAUACAGUUUAGGAGAUUGAUUGAGUGAUUGACAUUUAGUACUUGAUUGGAUCGGGAAUGGUAAGAAUAACAUACUUGCCAUACAGUUUAGGAGAUUGAUUGAGUGAUCGACAUUUCAUUACUCUUUUCACUCACAAAGAAAGGAAAACAGACAAGCAUGCAGGAAAAGAUGUCAUAUUUUCUUUUUAUACAUGUUCCAAUCUGUCAUUGUUAAACUAAACUCUUUUUUCUGUAUAUCGAUAGGAUCCUCAUACAGAGAAUAGUCCUUAUCGAGGAUUUAUAUACACUUCGUUCCAAGAAAGGGCGACUUUUAUCUCCCAUGGGAAUACUGGCAGGCUCGCCAAGGAGUAUGGGGAUAUUAACUUGGCUCAAAUUUGCGGUAGCAUUGCCUCAGAUGAGAAGCGCCACGAGACAGCCUAUACCAAAAUCGUUGAAAAGCUGUUUGAGAUUGAUCCCGAUGAAACAGUUCGGGCAUUUGCUGACAUGAUGAGGAAGAAAAUCACCAUGCCAGCUGAGUUCAUCUAUGAUGGCCGAGAUUACAACCUAUUUGACCACUACUCGGCUGUCGCCCAAAGAAUCGGGGUUUACACUGCCAAGGACUAUGUUGAUAUAGUAGAGCACCUGGUGGAUCGAUGGAAGGUAAAGGAGCUAACUGGCCUUUCAGCCGAGGGGCGUAAAGCUCAGGACUAUGUGUGUGCACUUUCUUCGAGAAUUAGAAGGCUGGAGGAGAGAGCACAAGAAAAGGCCAAGGAAGCACCCUGU
rnacentral:lncRNA from 1 species